UUUUUUUUUUUUUUUUUUUUCCGGCAACGAUAGAUGUUGUAUAACCUACUCUAGCCUAGUCUAAGGGAAGGGGCAGGGGGAUGGUCAACUAAGACCAGCCACAUAUUGUGGCCAAAUUGUGGGAGGCAGGGGAUGAUCCCCUAACCUCCAGCAUCAUCAUUAUAGUGAUGACCACUGAACCAAAUGACCAGUGGCACCCAACACCUCUUACUCGUCAUUACCAAUUUUAGAUCAUGCAUUUAGAAAUGCUUGGCAAAAUGAGAAAGCAGCCAAGGAGGUCAGCAAAUACGUGGUAUCAAACAAAAACUUUCUGCAAUGUCUUUUGCUCCUCAUGAUCACCAAGUGCACCCCCUUCGUUCAGUUCUAACGCAUAAAGUGAAACAAAAUAUACAUAGUGAGACGCUUAAAUUGAAGCAAAAAAAUACAGUAUUAGAGCAAGAAUGCAGGGUUUUUUUUUUUGGCAAAGGAAUUUACAAAAAGAGGCAGCAUUACUAACACUUGCCAAGCACAUCUGCUCCAUCAAAGGGUGAAAGGUUGAUGAAUUAAUAUGAUGUAUCCAGUGGUUAAGCCUUUAUGGUGAACAUUUAGAGAAGUGAAUGACAGUGGACGGUAAAAAUACAGCACUUAAACUGAGUACCUUAAUAAACUUGCUGUCCUAUCUGAACAAACGUCCUGCCACAGGGUACUACUCCACAAUGUUAGGAAAUACCAGCAGGAAGUGUUUCAGAUGGACAAAUUCAGAGAAGAGUAAUCUUACACACAGAUGAAAUGUAGCUACGUAAUUCAGGCAAGAGUUAAUGACACUAACAAUACGGUGUUUGUCUUGCUCAAAUUUCUUAAUUUGCAUGCCAUUUCAAAUCGACAGCCACCAACAGAGCAAAUUCUCAAUUACUUGAAGCAGUGUAAUGAACGAUCGAAAAAUGGAAAAUCAAAAGAAUAGUAUAUACACGAUCUGUUGACAGUACAAACUGGUAUCUCUGAAUUGCACAACAUAUUCUUAAGGUGCGGUUGGUACAGAACUAAAUCCAGAAUGCACACUAUAUUUUCCUAAAGAAAAAGGAAAAACAAAAAAUAGGGAACUCGUGGAAUCAAAAUAUCAAAAUCAGCUAUAUGGUAAUACAAAAUCUGUGAACCUAACUAAGUAUACCAAGCCUAUCGUGAUUUUCCAAACCCAAUAGCAGUCUUCCUUCUUCUUCGAGCAUCUAUUCUUUCAGGGCUUUGCAAUCCAGUUCUCCCCUCAUAUUUCUUUUCCAAGGCCUGUGCAAGUAGAAUUUAUAAUAUAAAAUCUAUUUCUGCCAUCCCAGGCUAGUUGAAGCUAAAAGGUUAAACAAGAAAAGAUAUCCACAUUCAACAAAUAUUCUGCAAAUAUUGGAAUAUGUAAUAAAUCUAUUGACUAUUCACCUGUAAAUCUGCACUGAUACUUUCAAGAACUUCGUCUGUCAUUCUAUCAAAGAAAAGUAUUCCCUGCAAAGCAGAAUGUAAUUUAGGAUAUAAACUAGAAAGAAGCAGAAAAUGAAGCUUAGUGUCCUUGCCUCCAUGGUCAAGGUAACCACCAUCUUUGAGUCAAACAAUACUCCUAAACUAGAUUAACCACUCAGUAUAUUUUGUUUGCAAUUGAAAACAGGCAUGCAAUGUGAAGACCAGAAUGGUAUUGCUGAUUGGCCCGUCAACAUGGGCAGUCAGUUGUAGUUUUUAAGCCAUAAACAAUGAGAAUUUGGUACAUUUCCAGGUCGCAAUUUCGUGGUCCAAGUUGUCCAAACAACAGUAAUGAGUAAGUUAACCAAAUUACAGGUUCAAAGCUCAUGACGGCAAUAAACUAAUGAACUACUGGGAUGCGAAAAGCUCAGCUUUUGUCACGAUUAUGAUGGAUAUCCAUCUCAUCUCAUCACAACUUCACAGAGUAUCAAUGGUGAACAUUUGGACAUAAUAUUUCAGGCUCUUUCUGAACCAAUUACAGGGACAUAUGCAAAAACAAGACUACCUGAAGAUGAUCAUAUUCAUGCUGAAACACCCUUGCAGGAAGUCCCGUCAAGUUAAAUGCAAAUCUUUUGCCACUAAUGUCCUGUGCAUCGAUUGUCACAGAGUCCGGUCUCUACACAAACAAAAAACAAUAAGAGCAAUUAAAAUCUCGUAGGAAAACACAAUUGCAUUAUUACCUUCAACAAACUUAAAUGAACACAUACCUCAACAUCAGCAUAAAUCCCCGGAAAGGACAAACAGCCCUCAUUAUAAGGAACAAUUUUCCUCGAAUAUCUACUAACUUUCGGAUUCACAAGAACAAUCUCCUCUCCUUCCCCACGUUCACCAACCGGAUUAAACACCAUAAGGUGAACAUUAAUUCCCACCUGGGGUGCUGAAAGCCCAAUCCCAUCAGUCCUAUUAACGAAAAAGGAAAACCAAUAACUAUUUUUACCGGUUCCUAAAAUCUCAACAAUUCAGAAAAGAACUCAAGAAACCCACUAAAACAGCAACAAAUUCAGAGAAUUUUCUGCUAAAAAAGUCAAAUUCUUUACCUAUACAUUAUGUCGAACAUCUCAUCUACUAACUUCUUCAAGUUAUGGUCAAACGUACUGAUCCUUUUAUUUUUUGCUCUCAAUAUCGGGUCUGGAUAUUCCACAAUUUUAAGGGGUGCCUCAAACUGCAAAUCCGCCACUGCUAACAACAGAAAUAAGCAUACAAUUUCGUGGGUAUAAGCUAGAAAUGCAUAAAAUUUAAGGGGAAAACUAGAAACAUGGAAAACAUGGCUCGAGUUGGGGAUGUUUACCAGAGGCAAAUUCGUCCUCUUUUACUUUGGAAGAAGAAGAGAAGCUUCGUCUGGCCUGAGCACGAACACCUGCUGCCAUUCCGGGAGGUUUAUGAGGGGAUGUCGAAGAAUAGUUGAAGGGAUUUGUCGGAGUGAAGCGGUGGAGACGGCGGAAAAUGGAGGGAGCAAUGGUGGCGGUGCCGGGAAGCUUCGACAGUAGAGCUUUAGAAAAUGGGGAAGAGUAGAGCCAGGUCGCUCCAGCCAUUGCAAAAACUAGCACGCCGGCCCAGAGUUGAUACUUAAAGGGAUAAUUUCAGAAACCUCCCCUGAGGUUUCUGACAUUUACACUGAUCUCCCCUGUAGUUUGAACAAUUACACUGAUCUCCCCUGAGGUUACUAAUCCUUUACAAAUUCAGUCCAAAUGAUUAAAAUAUUAUUUUAGAGAGUGAAAUUAGAAUUUUGUACCUGAUUUGUCCUUUGUGCUACAUGUCCAAUGAAUGGCAAAGUAUUACAAAUUAAUUAAUAAUUAAUAAACUUUAACGAGCGUAAUUUAUAGGCAAAUACGUAUUGCCUAUUUAAAGUACCAGAUCUUUACAUGUAUUUUACUUUCAAACAUUUACUUUAUCACAAAUAUUUAUUCUCAAAUACUAAUUUUUGUUAAACACAAAACCUACCAGUUUUUCUUCCGUAGAAAUAUUAAUAUAACACUUUUUCAAUUUUAGUUAUAAAUAUUUAUGUAUUUAACAUAAAUUAAAUGAUUCAGGAUAAAAUAUCCAUAAAGAGCCAAUACUUUACUCAUGUAAUGGAUGAAAGUCAUAAAAAAUUAAUAGUUUAUAAGGCCAUUUAUUUUUUAAAAAAUAUUUAAUUUAUAUUAAAUAGAUAACCUACUGAUAUUUUUUGCAAGAAUAUUACUUUAACACUUUUUAAUUUUUAAUUACAAAUGUUAAUAUAUUUAUCAUAAAUUAAAUAUUUGAAAACAAAAUAUCUGUAAAGAGCCAAUACUUUAAAUAGGAUAUGCGUAUUUGCCUAUAAAUUACACUAUUUAAAGUAAGGAGUAUAGUUUAUUGAUUUAAGUUAAGGAGUGUAGUUUAUUGAUUUAAGUAAGGAGUGUAGUUUAUAGGCAAACACACAUAACUUAUUUAAAAUACCAGCUCUUUACAGGUAUUUUAUUUUUAAAUAUUUAAUUUAUAAUAAAUAUAUCAAUAUUUGUAAUUAAAAAUUAAAAGGUGUUACAAUAAUAUUCUUGUAAAAAGAAAAUCGAUAGGUUAUCUAUUUAAUAUAAAUUAAAAUUAAAAAAAAGAAAUGGCCUAUAAAAUGUUAAUUUUUUAUGGCUUUCAUCUAUUACAUGAGUAAAGUAUUAGCUCUUUAUGAGUAUUUUAUUCUGAAUCAUUUAAUUUAUGUUAAAUACAUAAAUAUUUGUAAUUGAAAUUGAAAAAAUGUUAUAUUAAUAUUUCUACGGAAGAAAAACUGGUAAGUUUUGUAUUUAACAAAAAUUAAAUAUUUAAGAGUAAAUACAAAUCUGUAUUUGAGAAUAAAUAUUUGUGAUAAAGUAAAUGUUUGAAAAUAAAAUUCAUGUAAAGAGCUGGUACUUUAAAUAGGUAAUACGUAUUUGCCUAUAAACUACGCUCGUUAAAAUUUAUUAAUUGUUAAUUAAUUUAUAAUACUUUGUCAUUCAUUGGACAUGUGGCACAAAGGACAAAUCAGGUACAAAAUUCUAAUUUCACUCUCUAAAAUAAUAUUUUAAUCAUUUGGACUGAAUUUGUAAAGGAUUAGUAACCUCAGGGGAGGUUUCUGAAAUUAUCCCAUACUUAAAUCAUGGGACGAGAUUUUAUGUGUCCGCAUCGGGCAGCGAUUUUAUGUGGCUCCAUCUUGGUUGUUGAAUGUUGAUAUUAAAAUUUAAUUUUUUUCUUAUUCAUUUUUCUUUUUGAAAAUAAUUUGCUUUAAAAAUGAAGUUUAGGAUGUAUGAGUAUGUUUGGAAAGAUGUUGAUAUUAAAAUUUAAUUUUUUAUUCCUUUUUCUUUUGAAAAUAAUUUGCUUCAAAAAUGAAGUUUAGAAUGUAUGAGUGUCUUUGGAUAGAAGAUUAUUUGAUUAUUUUCUUUAAUUAUGCUCUUUGCUCGAGGUUUUUUUUUUUUUCACAGACUCCAAAAUUCAAAGAAUUUUAAAAAUAAAAUAAAAUCUCUCCAAAUUUAAUGCCUCAAGCAAAUUUUGUAUCUCACAUUGUGCAUAUAAUUAACUUUAAAGCUUUAUAUUGCGUGCCAGAAUUUUUAAUAAUUUAUAAAAUGAUAGAAAUACUAUUGUAGUUCAACCGGUCAACCCGAUGAACCGCCCAUGAAACCGGACUGGGUUUGUAAUUGAAUCGUUUAUGCAAGAAAUCCGUUGACUUUUCAACGAAUCUACGGAUUACUAUUUAAGUUUUGUUAAUUCUGAUAAGAAUUAAUAAUUCUAUAAUAAAUUGGACUAACUGAAUAUUUACUAUAACAUAGUUUAUUAUAGUUUCAACCAUAUCAAAAACUAUGAGACAUAAUAUUUAAGUAUAAUUAGUGACCCACCGGUUAGACUACUCACCCACUGGUUGAACCAGUAAUCCGUUGACCCACCUCUUUCACCAGAUUCCUUCCCGGACCAGGUUUAAUAACUAUAGUUUAACUACAAUUUAAUUUUAAUCACACAUGCAAAUUUGUUUGUAAUCAUUGGAGUUAUAUGUGCAGCUUACUCGUUUCAUACAACGUAUUCUUAAAUUUUAGUGAAGCUAAAACUUGAGACAUAUUCUUAAAUUGGUUUGUAGAGAAAGGAACCAAGAAAAAGGUGGAAAAUGGAACAAGUAUUAGACUAUGGGAAGACGAGUGGAUCCCAAGAAAUCAGGAAGGAAAGCCUACUACUUGUAGGCCUCUGAACUGCAGCCUACAAAAAGUGGAAGAUUUGAUUGUGAAUCAUAGGUGGAAUAGACCCCUGAUAUUCAGAACCUUCAACAAGGAUGCAGCAAACAUCUUGAAGAUACCUUUAAGCCUUGCUUUUUCCCCCCCUGAAAUGAUAUAAGAUUUUAUUAAUGACAAAAAGUAAAAUACACUUUGUGACCAGGGACUUGUAUUGAGCUAUACAAAAGUGUACUAAAACAAUGAGAAUCUAAGAAUUCCUUAUCAAGAACUAUGUUUUGAGCUAGUUUGCUCAACCUUUUACUUAAUCUAUUCUAUUCAAAAUAUGGUCAAAUGAGCAUUUUCUAAACAUUGAGUUAAAGUCUUUGAUGUCGUCCAGAUAUGUAGAAAUUCUAAUGUCACAUGAGGAUGGUUUUCCAAUUAGACUUAGGACUUGGAUGCAUGAUUUAUGGACUUUGACAAACUCCCACCCUUGUCCCUUCGUCUUACUCAAAGCCAGUUUAAUGGCCUACAAGUAGUCCAGGAUCAUCGAGCCAGUACUUCUUUCCCUCAAUUUUUCAAUUCCAUGCUGCUUGCAACUAGUUCAGGUUGUUUAUAGCAGAGAUCCCUAUCCCCAUGUUUUGACCUUCUUUGUGUUGUCCUACUUCCAUACCUAUUUCUAGUUAAUUUUCUUCUUGUACAGGCCUUUGUUCCUGUCUUAAAGUUGCUUCUGUUUCUGAAAUGCUCACUUGUGCUGGUCUGUGUUGAAUUUGACUGUAUUCCUCCCAAUCAUUUACUAUUUUUUGAAUUACUUCCAUUGGGUGCUUCUCUUUGUCUUUGAACUCCCUGUCAUUUCUAACCUUCCAUAUCUGCCACAGUAUGUCAACUGUCAAAGCUAUAUGUUCAAUGCCAUCCUUUCUGUUUCUAGCUUUCAUAAGCUUUGUCCACCAAUUCUUGAAUUUUCCUAUGUGCUCAGAUAAACCAUCCCAUUGGAGGGGGGGGGCAUCUUCCAUAUAUUUCCUGCCAUUCUGCAUUGAAAGAAAAGAUGUUCCAAUGUCUCAGCAUCCUUACCACAGUUUUUGCGAAUCAGUUCUUCUUUUCCAGUCCUUCUAAAGAUAGUUUCUCUAACUGGUAAGGCAUGAUUUAGACAUUUCCAGAUGAACAAUUAUUGUUUCUAUUUGAUUUUCAUUUUCCAUAGCUGUCUCCAAGCUCUUUCUUUCUCUCCUGCAAAGCUUGUCUCACCCUUAUUGUUGGCUCUUUUUUCCUCGUCUCUUUUCUCUGGUCAUUGCUUCAUAUGUUGAUCUAAUAGUAAAUUGCCCUUUAUUACUGUGGCUCCAAAAGUAGCUAUUUGGUUUUCUUGCUAGGCUUAUAGGUAUUUUAAGGAUUUUUCCAGCUUCAUUUGGGCCAAAAGUCCUAAGGAUUAGUGUUCUGUUCCAUUUGAAAUUUGAGAUCAGUUCAUCCACAUUGUUAAGCUUGCAACCUUGAGGCUUAGGAGAAUUUAACUUCCCCCCUUCCAAUCCUGUAUCCAUGCAUCUUUCCAGAUUCUUGUACUUUUUCCAUUUCCAAUUUUUUUUCUAAGCCCAUUAUUUACCUCUUCUCUGACUCCCAUUAAACUUUGCCAUUUCCAAGAUGAAUUACUCUUUGCUUUGCAACUCAGAGGUGAUUCUUUUGGCUAAUACUUUGCUUUUAUAACUUUAUUGACUAGAAGGUUUGGACAGGUUAGUAGUCUCCAUACCUAUUUUCCUAGCAAUGCUUUAUAAAAUCUUUGCAGCUCCUUGAACCCUAGCCCACCAUCAUCCUUCAUAGUUGUUUUUUUUUUUUUUCAGAAGCACCAGUGAAUUUUUCUUUUCCAUUCUCUUCUCCCCACCAUAAUUUUGACAUCAUUGCAUUUAUCUCUCUACAUAGUUUCAAUGGAAGUUUGAAACAUGACAUUGCAUACAUAGGUAUUGCUAUAGUGUGAUUUCUUUCACGAGAAUCUUUUUCCCUUCUUGGCUUAGCAUUUUGUUCCUCCAACUGUUAACAGUUUUCUGGUAGUUCUCUUUGAUGAAGCCAAAAACAUGUUCCUUAGUUCUUGUGAUAACUAUAGGCAAUCCCAAGUACUUCCGUUGUUUUAGCACUUGAAUGUUCCCCAAUCUUUUAUAGAUUUCUCUUUGCUUUUCCUGAUCCAUAUUCUUGCUGAAUAUCACUGAUAACCUGUCCAUGUUGAUCAUUUGACUUGAUCUUUAGGAUUCUGAUUACUUUUUCUGCUUGAUUGGUUUCUACCUUGCAAAAAAUCAAAGAGUCAUCAACAAAGAAAAGAUGGGUUAUUGAUGGACCAUUUCUGCUAAUUUUGAUUCCAGUCAGUUGUUUGUUCCUUCUGCCUGAGCCAAUAGGUUCGAGAAGCCUUCAGAGACUAGGAGAAACAAGUAAGGUGAUAAUGGGUCUCCUUGCCUAAUCCCUCUAGUGGGUAUGACAUAUCUUUUUGAUUCCCCAUUUAUGCUGAAAGAACAAGAAGCUGUUGAGAUGCAAGCCAUGAUCCAAUUAAUCGAUUUGUCACAAAAGCCCAUCUUUGUCAUGAUUGCUUUCAAAUACCUCCGUUCCACCUGUCAAAAGCUUUAGACAUAUCUAAUUUCAAAACCAUGAAACAUUGAGUUCCUUGCCUUUUGUUUUUGAUAUAGUGCAUGUACUCAUGAGACAGUAUAGCAUUAUCUAAAAUUUGUCUAACAGGCACAAAGGCUGCUUGAUUUUUACUAAUGCAAUUAUCUAAAACAUUUUUCAACCUAUUUGCAAGGAUUUUAGAAAUCCUGUAAAGAACAUUGCAUAGGCUUAUAGGUCUAAACUGUUUGACCUCUAUAGGGCUUUCAACCUUAGGGAUUAAAGAAAUUAUGGUAUGGUUUACAGCUCUCAACAUGAAGCUAGAGUGAAAGAAACUUCUGAUGGCUUUGAUAAUGUUAGGUUUAAUAAUGUGCCAAAAUUUCUAAAAAAACAUUGGUGCCAUUCCAUUAGGGCUAGGUGAUUUGUUUGGUUUCAUGCAAAAUAAAGCUUCUUGGAUUUCUUUAUCAUCUAUUGGCUUGGUAAGGUUAGUGUUCAUUUGGUUUGAGAUGGUGUGUGAUAUCCCUUCAAUAAUCACUACAAAAUGGUCCACUCUCUUACUAGUUGAAAAUUUUUUUGAAGUAGUUGUCCACCUCCUCCCCUAAUUAAUCUUCUAUGUUGGCUCAAGAUUUGUCCUCUCUUUGGAUUUUCUAUAGUUUGUUUCUUCUUCUUUUGCCCUUUCAUUGGAGUGGAAAAAAUGGGUGUUCUUAUCCCCUUCCUUCAGCCACUGAAUUCUUGAUUUUUAACUCCAGAAAAGUUCUUCCUUACUGUAAGCUUCUUAUAAUUGGAUCUUCAUCUCUUUCAUCCUUUCUUUUUUAUCCAAGCUAUCAGACAUUCUAAGUUCCUCCAACAGCUUUUUGGUUCUUUCUAUUCUUUGCCUUACAUUUUCUUGGAAGUUAUUUUUCCACUUUAGAAUAGCCACUGUGUAGUUUGCAAUCUUCCUAGUCAUUUUGUACAUGUGUAAGCCAUCCUGAUCCUCUUCCCAAACCCUUCUAAUUACCUGUUCAAUACCUUCCUUUUUGAACCAUCUUCUGUCAAACAAAAAUCUUGUUUUCCUCUUUUCAGCUUGGGGAUUGGAGUCUAGAAAAAUCAUACUAUGAUCAGAGCUAAAAUUCUUUAUGCGCCUAACUUUUGUUCUAUCAAACAUUUGGCUCCAAGCUCCAUUUCGAAAGGCCCUGUCUAGUUUUUGUUUAAUCUCCCUUUCUAUGACCAAUGAUUGCUCCAUGUCUAAGGAUUACCUUCAAACCCUAAAUCAAUCAGCUCAUUCUUAUUAAUGAAGUCAUUAAACUCUCUAAAACUUCCUUCUUCCCUUCUUCCAUCCCAUUUUUCCCUAUUCGAGGUGAUAUCAUUAAAGUCCCAUGCUAUAAUCUAUCUAGUAUCCUACAAUUCCUUCCUUCUUUCUAUAACUUUCCACUAGUUUCUCUUGGUUUGGUCAUUAGCGUUGACACAAAAACCAAUAAACCACCAAUCCAUGUUUUUGUCUGGAUCCAAGAUGUGUGCUUCUAUGGUAAAAGUAGUUGUUAGCACCUCCGUUACUUCAAGAUCAGCAUUCCACAUCACAAUCAUUUCCCCAACUUUAUUCAUAGAUUUUACUAUGACACUUUCCUCAUAUCUCAGCUAUCUCAUAACUUUUUCCAUAAAAGGUUGUCUAUUUUUUGUCUCACAAAGGAAAAUCAAGUUUGGGAAGAAAAGGUUGCAAGCCUGGCUCAGCUGGGGAAUUGUCAAGAGGCUUCCUACAUCUUGACAAUUCCACACCAGUUAUCUCAUUUGUCCUUUGGAGACCAGAAUGGGUUAGUCUCUACCCCUUCUCCUAUUUCUGCACAUUUUUCUUGAACUGUCUCCACUCUCACCCUUCUAUCUAUCAUCUCACCACCUCCACAUCCACCAUAACUUCAUCCACUAAUUGAAACUUCCUUUUUCCUGAAUUUUCCAUAGUGCUCAAUAUUCUGAAUUUCUUUUAGUGGCUAUCUGAGGAUGUUUGGUGAUUUUAGUUGCUUUUUGGUCCUUGUGGUUUUUUGGUUACUCUUUUCCACCGAGACACCUGCAUAUCCUCACCUUCCAUUUCCUUGUCACUUUGUCCUAAAGUCCUUUCUGUACCUUGGUCCUUGAGUAUCCCCAAACUUUUCCUCUCCGUAGCUUUUGUUUUCUGUUCCUCAUUUCCUUUUUGAUUAGUUCUGCUCUUGUUGGCCUCAUUCUCAAUUGUCUUUCCUUUAUCUAUCAUGGCUUUCUCUCCCUAUUUGCUUGAGGAACUUUAUCCUGGAAAUUUGAUUUCUGUCUCAUUUUUGCUUGUUUGUCUUGACUUCAUCAAUUCCCUUCCACAUGAUUUUGGAAUCAGUUCCUUAUCUUUGAAUCCCCAUUUUUGUUUGUUUAGAGAUUUAUGAGCAACAAUCUGUUUUCCCAUUUCUUUUUGGAGUGACCCUUUACCUCUUCCUACUCUAAGCCACGGACCAAAUUGAUUUUUCAGUUGACCUUUUUCUACUAGUACUGUUUCCUUAUAGUUUCGUUCAUUAUGUCCUAUUCUACCACACUUUUAGCAAAAAUUUGGACAUUUUUCAUGUUUAAAGCUUAUCCAUCUCAUCUUUCCUUCCAACUUAACAGUGGUACCUCUCAUUAGUGGUUGGGAGAUGUUUUCCAAAACCAGUAAUUUAAUAUGCCUACAUUCCUUUCCCCCUUCUUGAGGUAUUAUGGCCUCUUUGGUUUCAUGAAAACUGAGGCUAUUUUUUUGCACAUUUCCUUAGUUAUCCAAUGUACAGGAAGGUUCCAUACCUAAAUCCACAAUGGGCCAAUGUUGAAAUAUGCUUCCUUCUCCUCAAAACCUUCAAACCAUUGUCUUAACACCAAGAUCUGAUUGUCAAAAAUCCAUAGGCCUCCAUUUAAGAUUCUGUCUCUAUCUUUCUCAUUGGGGAUGAAAAAUUGGAAAAGAUUUGUACCUAAUUCCACCACCCUUAGUUCUUUUGGAUACCUCCAGGCAGUGGCGGAGCUAGGAAUUAACUUUGGGGAGGGGCGAGUGUUGACCUUGGUCGAUCAAUCCUUGGUUUUGAUGAUUAACAAACCAAAAUGUAGAUUUGGGCUAAUGUUUUUAUGUGAGUAAUUUGUUAGAACAGAUUCUUGUGGCAUAAAAGAAGAAGCAAAAAUAGGGCACUCAUGUCGGACGCUAUCGGACGUCCGAAAGGAUGAAAAACAUCAAGAAGGAAACUCUGUCGGACGCUCGUGAGGAAGCAUCGGACGUCCGGAAGGAUCGGACGCACGCCUCGAACGCACAUCGAUCGCAUCGGACGUCCGAGAAAUUUCGCAAAGAUUGGAUGACUCUCUGCCUACGUUCGGACGCAGGGUUCGGACGUCCGACAGGUGGUUCGGACGUCCGACAGGCACCUGUCGGACGUCCGACAGGCCAACGGCUAGUUUUGACAGCAAUUAAUAUUUGACCGUUGGAGAGUCUUAUGGAGCCAUUUCUCACCUUCUAUAAAAACCCCAAAGCACAAGAAGACUAGAGACUUUUGCCAACACAAAAUACAAGCUUACAAGUGAGAUUUUUGAGUAGAAAGAUUCUUUGUUGGUUGUAUAAGGGGUUGGAAAAGUUGGGUUGUGAGGUUGCUCAAGUGAAAACCUUGGUGAAGGUGAACCUAUCACUUGGAGUGGUAAAACCUUAGUGAAGGUUGCCUCAUUUGUAUAAAAUAGUUCUUAAUUGGGUGAGUGAUCUUUCAAGUGUAGGUUGUUGAGGGUUAACUAGAAUUGUUGUAAAACUCCUUGGCUCAAUCAAAGAGUGUUUGGGGUGAGAAAGGAGUGAACCUUCACUUGUACAUCUUGGUUAGCAUCGCCAUCAAUUGAAGAGGCUAUUGGAUUGAUAUUUGGUUUGCAUUUCUUAUCUUUUCUCUUUAAUUAAGUUUUCUUUAUUGUGCUUAAAUUUGAUAUAUCUUUGUGCAUCAUUGUGAAAUUGUUUGUAUUCAUUGGGUUGCACCAGGACUAACAAUUGGUAUCAGAGCUUGGUCUCUUUUGAUCAAGCUUAACCGCUUAGAGUAAAGAUCAUGGCAACCAUAAAAGUUUCUUUUUUAGAAGGGCAAUCUAUUGAUAGACCACCUAUGUUUAAUGGUUCUCAUUUUAGCAUGUGGAAACAAAGAAUGAUGAUUUUCUUACAAUCCGUUUAUAUUGAAUUAUGGUAUGUGGUAGAAGAUGGUCCUUAUGAAACUAGAAUAGUUGACUCCACCACCAAUUUGAGUAGAUUAAAGACUAGACAAGAAUUGAAUGAAAAAGACAAGAGAUACCUUUCUUUGAAUGCCAAGGCCAUGUGUAUAUUGUACAAUGCAUUAGAUGUAAAUGAAUCUAGUAGGAUUAAAGGUUGUAAAUCUGCUAAAGAUAUUUGGGAUAAAUUGUGUGUAUUUCAUGAAGGUAACCAAGAGUUUAAAGAACAAAAGAAAUCUUUGCUUGUUUCUCAAUAUGAAUUUUUCAAAAUGCAUCCUCUUGAAAAUGUUGAUAAGAUGUGUAGUAGAUUUUGUGACAUUAUUGAAGAUCUUAAAUUGCUUGGAAAAGAAUAUUCUUUGGGUGAGAAAAAUAGAAAGAUUUUGAAUGCCUUGCCAAAAGAAUGGGAAAACAAAAUAAAUGCUAUAGAAGAGGCAAAGAAUUUAAAUUCUAUGUCCAUUGAAUCUCUUGUGAAUUCCCUAACCUCUUAUGAAUUAAAACUGAAACUCAAAGUGCAAGAGGAAGAAAAUGCAAGAAUGUAUAUGAGAGGCAUAGCUUUUAAAGCAUCUCAAGUGGGGGAUAACCCAUCCUUCAUGGGUAAUGAAAUCGUGGAAGUGGACAAUGAUAUAACUCCUCACAUCAAAAGUUUCAAGAAGAUCUUCAACAAGAGAUGUUCAAGAGGAGAUUGCAAAGUUACAUGGGAUGAAUGCAAUUCAAAAAGAGAAAAAGAAGAGUUGGCCCAAAUAGCACUAAUGGCCGUUGGAGAAGAUGAGGUAAGUUCUUAUCACUCUUCUUGUGAUGAAGAUAAUGAAGAUGAUGAUGUGAAAAUUCUUAUGAUUAAAAUGCAUAAAAGUUUGAGAAAAUCUUAUGCUAAAAAUAAAGAUUUGAAAACAAAAAUAAAUGAUUUGUUGGAAGAAAACUCCAAACUUUUUCAAGAAAACAAAUGUUUGAGAAUGCAAAAUGAUGAUUUAAAAAAUCAAAAAGGUGUUUUUGAUUGCAAAAAUAAUUUGAAAAGGAAGUUAGAAGAGAAAACAAAGUUUUAUGAAAAAAUGUUGGAGGAACAAAAUGUGUUAAAGAAAAGAAUUAAUGACUUGAAUGAGUUUCUCCAAAAUGAAAAACAAAAGUUUUUUCAAACAAAAGAAAGCAAAUCUUUUCAAGGCACAAAUAAGUUUGUUAUGAUAAGAAGUAAGAAAAUUAGUUGCAUUAAAUCCACCUAUGUGCAAAAUACUUCUAUCAUGUGUCACUUUUGUUGCAAAUUUGGACAUAUGCAAAAUGAUUGCUAUGUAAAGAAAAAUAUGAGAAAAGGCAUGAAAUCCAUGUGGAUUGCUAGAUCAUGUCGUAUUAACUCCCAAGGACCCUAUAAAGAAAUGGUACCAAAUGAAAUUUCUCAUAUUUAGGCACAUCAUGAUGAUUUGAUCCAAGAAGUGCUAUAUGGUUGUAAGUACAAUUGAAAAUUUUGAUAUUCAAUAUGGUCUUGAUUUGAAAAAUAAAGGGGGAGUUUGUUUUUGAUUGAUGCCAAAAGGGGGAGUAGGAUUUAUUGAAAUUUCUUUGUAUGUUGAACUUAUUUGAUAAAAGAAAUCUUCAUUUUGUUUGUCAUCAUCAAAAAGGGGGAGAUUGUUGACCUUGGUCGAUCAAUCCUUGGUUUUGAUGAUUAACAAACCAAAAUGUAGAUUUGGGCUAAUGUUUUUAUGUGAGUAAUUUGUUAGAACAGAUUCUUGUGGCAUAAAAGAAGAAGCAAAAACAGGGCACUCAUGUCGGACGCUAUCGGACGUCCGAAAGGAUGAAGAACAUCAAGAAGGAAACUCUGUCGGACGCUCGUGAGGAAGCAUCGGACGUCCGGAAGGAUCGGACGCACGCCUCGGACGUCGCGAGAAAUUUCGCAAAGAUUUGAUGACUCUCUGCCUACGUUCGGACGCAGGGUUCGGACGUCCGACAGGUGGUUCGGACGUCCGACAGGCACCUGUCGGACGUCCGACAGGCCAACGGCUAGUUUUGACAGCAAUUAAUAUUUGACCGUUGGAGAGUCUUUUGGAGCCAUUUCUCACCUUCUAUAAAAACCCCAAAGCACAAGAAGACAAGGGACUUUUGCCAACACAAAAUACAAGCUUACAAGUGAGAUUUUUGAGUAGAAAGAUUCUUUGUUGGUUGUAUAAGGGGUUGGGAAAGUUGGGUUGUGAGGUUGCUCAAGUGAAAACCUUGGUGAAGGUGAACCUAUCACUUGGAGUGGUAAAACCUUGGUGAAGGUUGCCUCAUUUGUAUAAAAUAGUUCUUAAUUGGGUGAGUGAUCUUUCAAGUGUAGGUUGUUGAGGGUUAACUAGAAUAGUUGUAAAACUCCUUGGCUCAACCAAAGAGUGUUUGGGGUGAGGAAGGAGUGAACCUUCACUUGUACAUCUUGGUUAGCAUCGCCAUCAAUUGAAGAGGCUAUUGGAUUGAUAUUUGGUUUGCAUUUCUUAUCUUUUCUCUUUAAUUAAGUUUUCUUUAUUGUGCUUAAAUUUGAUAUAUUUUUGUGCAUCAUUGUGAAAUUGUUUGUACUCAUUGGGUUGCACCAGGACUAACAGCGAGUCUAUAGAAAUGAAAGUAAAAUAUAAUUACAAAAAAAAUAAUGUGAACAUAUAUACCACAAGAUUAGAAACAACCUUAUAUAAAAUGAAAAUUACUUAUACGCUUCACAUAUACAAAAAUAUCAUCAUAUUUACAAAUCUAUUUGACUGUGUGAGACAUAUAAAAUUGUGCACGAUGACUUUUAAUUUUAUCAAAGUCAUCAAUGAUUGAAUUUGUAUCAAAAGUUCUAGCAAUUUCUUUCUCAAUAUACAUUAUCAUAGAGUUGGCAAGAAAGUCUUCCUCCAUCCUAGAACGCAAACAAGUCUUGAUGAUUUUCAUAGCAGAAAAUGCACGCUCUGUUGUAGCUGUUGAAAUAGGAAGAGUCAAAAUAAGACGAAUCAAUCUAUCAAUAAGAGUAUAGCACAUUGACUUUCUUGUCUUUGCUAACACUUGGCACAACUCCUGAAGUGAUGACAAAUUUUGAAGCUGAGAAUUACAGGAAAACUCAAUCUGGAAAAGCUCUAAUUGAGUUCUUAAGUGUAACUUCUCUUGAUCUGUGAAGUCAGCUGAAUAAAUCUUUAGAGACCAAUGCAAGGUUGUUGGGAAAGAGACCAAUGCAAGUUAAUGGGAAUUUGAUCAAUGCAAAAGACUGGUUUCCCUAAUUCCCUUACAAAUUUCGGCAAUUCAGCCUGACUGAAAAGCCCGGCCAUCACCCAAGAAAGCCAACAGGAUCCUCAAAAUAAAAUUAGUAUGAAAAUUGGAAAAGGAAACCAGUCUCAGAAUCAACUAAAAUAAAUGCUUAUCACCCGAAUUCAGAAGGUCAAGUAUGAAAAACAAUACAAGUCCCCCUCGAGCAAUUCAUCAAACAACUGACGGGCGAACUUUUUACACCCACAUUUCACUAAAUAAAUGCAAUGUCAAACUAACCUGGUAAAUGGUAAUAGCUGCAAUAGUCUGAAAUGGUAUUGAUGAUUAGUGUUAGUUUAUCUGGCAUUGCAACUUACAGGUCAAUUUAAGCAACCAAUGUCUAAUUCAUUAACCUGCUCUGAUGAUACAAUAAUAUGAAACAACCCCCUUUACUUCCUGAAAAAAAAAAGACACGUUCAGCAAAUGCUAAAAGAAAAAUUACCUAGACAAUGCAAAAUGCAAUGGUACAAUCCUUAGCCAUGUGCGGGGGAAGGUCUUCACAGGAGAAAGUUCUUCAAGCCUUUAAUGGUCUCUACUCGAUGAGAUUAUGAGAAGCCAUGACUUUGUGAGCUCACAAGGAUCAAUUCCAGUAAUUAAUGAUGUAUCGUUUGAGCAGAUUUGAUACAUCUUUGCAGAACAAGGUGAGAAGAUUUUGACGUUUCUACUUUCUACGAAGAACUGUAGCAGAGUCAAUUGCCAGGUUAACUGGCUAUCUUUUCUUUGCACUUGUAUGAAGUCCGUUAAGAAAAGUGGCAAUUCUCUGUUAUUUGGACCAAGUCCAAAUAACUUUCAAAUAUUAUUGUUUGGGCUCUUGGGGGGCAAAGUGGAUUUUUUUGAUCAAUUUUUUUGGGGGGGGGGAGAGGGGAAACAUAAUAAUAAAAAUUUUUUUACUUAGAAAUUUUUUUUUAACAAUUGGAGGGGGCCGGUUGACCCCCUGGCCCCCCCUUCCCUCCGCCCCUGUCUCCAAGCUAAGGUGACGAAAUUUUUUACCCCAACAAAGUUGAUAAUCUUCUCUCUUUUUAUUCUUUCUACCAACCUUUCCCCACAAUCUUAACACUAGGUCCAACAUCUCCUAGAUCAAUUUCUGUUUCGUUCAUAUCCUUACUAGAUAGAGCAAAUUUUUGCAAGAUUUUUGUAAUUUCAUCGGCCAUAGAGGAAUUUUUGCAAGAUUUUUGUAAUUUCAUUGGCCAUUGCUCAUCUUUAGUGAUUCUUUAGGAUUGUCACACACCAGAUUUUACCAGAAAAGUUCAAGACAAGAUGGCUCAAUGUUUAAAAAAGGAAAACUUGGUUGUUCUCUAAUCUACUCUGGUUGAAAGCUACCACUGAGGAACCUCAACAGUAGAAAAGGCUAUAAAGAUUAAGAAGUGACAGGGUGUCGAAGCCUGUACAAUAAUAAAAUUAAACCUAAUUGCCAGUUGAAAUGACCAAAACCCAAUUCCAAGUACUGGAGCAGGGACUCUAGGUGUGCAAUGGGUUACUUGAUUCACCCUAUUCCCGAAGAGUUUGCUUGAUCCGAUAUACCCGAAUGGAAUGGUUAUUUCUUUUCACAAAUAAUUAUGAAUUUGUAGACAGGGCAAGUAGGGUUGUAUCCACAGGGAUUGGGUAUAUUCGUUUCUUAAGAAAUCCAAAGUAAUACAGGGGGUGAUUUUGCAGGAACGAUGACAAUUAAAUAAAACCAAAUAAGAAAAUAAGAAUAAAUAGCUAACUAGAAUUUAAACCACAGUUCACUGAACUUGGAGUAACAAUAAUUAAAGACUUAAAUCAAUUAGAACAAGGAAACAAUUAAAAAUGAAAUAAAGUAGGCAACUAAAAAUCAAUUGGCACUUCACUAAAAUCAAGGUAAUAUUAACUAAAGAUCUAGCCAAGAAGUAACUUCAGCAAUGGUUCACCUAAUUGAUCAUUGAAAUAAAGGCAUGAUCAUUGAAAUAAAGGCAAUUCCGAUUAUUUAUCAAUAAAUAGGUUAUAACUACCAACCAGGGGAUGAUAGCCAACCCCUCCUUACUGUGUCGAUGAUCAAGGUAUGCUCGUUAAUCACUGCUCUAAUUAGGAAAUAAUCUUAGGUACGCCCGUAAGAUUUAAUUCCCCAAUUACCUUACGUAUUAGAGGAGCCCUAUUCUAACCAAAUAACGCACUACCAGGGUUAUUUCAGAUUAGCCCGCGUAUCCCCCUGACACGAAUCUAAUCGUGUCAGUUGUCACUAUUUUGAGGUAAGUAAAUAAUUACGGAUUUAAUACCCCAAUUGACAAUAGAUUACCCAAUCAAUUAAUUAUCCGGAUCCAAGACAACCAAUUAAUUAAACAACCGUAAGCAUAGCAACCAAGGAAUAUGCGGAUACCAAUGAAUAAAAGAAAAAGAUUGAAUUAAAUCGAUCUCACAAUUUGGAGGCGAACCAGAGCCUUCGUUGCUCCUUGACUAGAAGGAAGGAAAUUAGUUCAUAUUUGAUGAACUAAGUCCACGGGAAAUUGAAGAUAAAGCUGCGGCCAUUGUCAUUGAUUUUUGAGAACUCAAUCCGUUCCAACCAGGAGGAGAUAGCAAAGUUACACGAAAUGAUCCUCUGCCUCACUACGGACGGCAUACCAGGAAAGAUAGAAAAACUCUAAGCAUUUAACACGAAGAAAAGUCAAAAGCUACCAAUUUCUAAUGCCUGCCAUGCGUAUGACAAGCGAAAAGCAUUUUUAGAGAAAAGUCAACAAUCUCAAGCUAAGCUACAGACGGAAAACUAAAACUAAGCUCGCCCCCAUCUGAUCCUGUUUUCCCUCCUUUAUUGCGGCGGCUCACCAGGAGGAAGAAGCCCUCCAGGGUGUCCUCCCCUUGUGGAAAUUACCAAAGUGGGCGUGACAUCUUCUUUCUCAAAAAUGCCCCUGGGACAAGCUCUAUCAUCUGAAUUCUUUUUUUUUUCAAAUUGGUACCUGUUAUCAUAUUUUUCGUUCUACUCCCUGAAAUAAAUGCAAAUUACGAAAAGUGAGUAGAAUCUACUAAUUAAUCCACAUCCGGUUAGGUAAUAGGGAAAAUUAAUAAUAAAAUAAAUAAUAAAAUUGCUACCUAUCAAGAAGCAAAGAACAAAGGAAACAGAAGGGGCCAAGAAAAGCUGGAAUCAGAAAUAACUUUCUACCAAUUCCAAUGUUUCUAAAGGAAAAACAAGCACUUUUAGCUAUCUUUUCUUUUUCCCCUUUUUUUUUGAAGUACUCAAGAAAAAACUUGAAGAAAAAAGUAUCACCAAAAGGCAGGAUCUAUCGGGUAAAAAGCUUUGAAAUAUCUAUCCAAGCUGAAGUCACGAUAGAAACAAGAAAGUGGGAUUCCUUGCUAGGUUGUUCCAUUCUCUACCGGCCAAUCAUAACUCACGUGGGAGAAUCUUUGUCUUUGUCUUUAAUACCACCAUUUAAUGUUGUCGAACAAUGCACUUCGAUAUAUUUAAGUUGGAUUUGUUUUGAAUUUUCAAUGUUGUUCAUUGCUCUGGAAGCUUGCGAGAUUUCAGAAUGGGCCUUCACCUCCCAAAAAAAGGAUCCGGGGCUGGAACGGUUGUCAGAGCAACCAUUCCGGAAGGUGUAACACCAUUUGCAUAAGGUGUAACAAUAGAACAACAGCGAGUAACACUAGAACAACAUUUUUGUGGGUUCCACACGGCGUGAAAAUCGAGUUACAAGGAAUGAUCUGAGCUGUACAAAUUUUUUUGGUCUAAUCAUGGCUCUGAACCUUCCGGAAUGUUUGUCUCUGACAACCGUUCCAGCCCCUCCUCCCCAAAAGAAGGAGACAAAACACAAUUCCCAAGAAAGAGAAAAUUUUGAAACUCUCACAUGGGUUAGAGACCUACUUGGCUAAGUCCAUUUAUAUAAGCCUUGUAGGAAGAAAGGACUAUACUUUUUGGAUAUUGAGUGAGAGCUGCCAAUACACAAUGAGAUCAGCAUACAAGGAACUUAGCAAGAAAGUAGUUAUGGAGCUAAGAUUUUGUUUUCCCACACACCGAGGGAGGGGGAGGGGUAAUUUUUCCUAACAAAAUUAUCUUCAUAUGUUGUGUUCAAAAUAAUUUUCAUCUAUUUAAAUAUAUGAUAUCUAAAAACAUCAAAUAUUAAUUUUAAUUAUAAAGGUAUGUUUAUUUCAUAAAUAUAUAGUAUAAUUAUAACGAAAAUUAAGAUAAGAAAUAUCUUUUGAUUAAAUAUCUUAUAAUAUCACAAACCAGCCAAGUUGCAUAUUAUGAGAAGAUGCUCUUAUAUAUAUAUAUAUAUAUAUAUAACUAUGCAAUAUAUAUAUAUAUAUAACUAUGCAAUAUAAAUAUAACUAUUUUCAAUUAAAAAAAAAGAUAAAAGUUAUGUUAACAUACUUUGAAAUUUUAACCCCUUUUUUCAAAAGUAAAUUGAACUUUAUAUUCUUCCAUAGAACUAAAUUCAUAUAUGAUUGAAUCAGUGCUAAAUUUUUCAAUAAAUUCAUUUUCUAUGUACACAGUUAGGCAAUCAUUCAAGAAAUUAUCUUUCAUCUUGUUUCGAAACUUUGUUUUGAUUAUCUUCAUAAUUAAAAAUGCCAUUCUAUAGUUGCAGUUCAUACAGGAAGAGGAAGAAUAAGUCUAAUCAAUUGGAUUGAUUUGUAUAUUUGUAUAUGAGUCAAUAAAGUAAUUAUUUUUAUUUUAACCCAUUAAUAAUUAUGAAUUGGAUUUUUUAAAUAUAAUAUGUCAAAUUGGGUCAAUUUACUAUGGAUUAUCAAAUUAUACGUUUAAUUUUUUGAAAGUUAAAUAAUUAGCACAAUAAAAAAUAAAUAACUUUUUUUGAACUAAAAAAUUAAUUCAAAAGUGGCAAUUGAUAUAUAUAUAUAUACACACACACACACAUAUAAUCUCAUAAUAUAAACUAAAAUUGCAAAGAAUUCGAGGGAACCAACUUUAGUUCACACAAAUAUUUAUACACUAUGAAUUAAAAUUUUCAAAACUUAGAGGGGUCAUUAGGGGUGGGCAAAAUUAUCCGCUAACCCGAAAAUCCGUCAUAUCCGAUCCGAUCCGAAAAUUAGGAUGUCCGAUUUUAUUAUUUGAUCGGGUCAAAAGAGGGUCGGGUAUCCGCUAAGAUGCGGAGCGGGUUAGGGUCACAUAAUUAAAAAUCCGCGGGUACCCGAUCCGCCCCGCAGAUAUAUAUAUUUUAUUAUUAUUAUUUUUUAUUUUUAUACACACUAUAAAAUAAUAAAUUAGAACUAAAUAAGUAAUUUUAUUGAACAAAUUGCAUUACAAAUAUGAGAGACUAUAGUUUAUUUACAAGAUUCAUUUGUAAAGACCAUGAUCUUAUAUUUUAUAGAAAAAAGUUUAAUUAAUGUGGAACAUAUAUAUUAAAAAUUGUGUUACUUAUUUCAAACUUUUAUUGAUUUUGAAUUCUUUUAAUUUUUUUUCCAUUAUCUUAUAUUCUCUUCAUAUGCUUGUUUCUUAGUGGGAAACCUUUUUUUAGAAAAAAAAUUAUUAAAUCUUAGAUGAAUGUGUAAAAUAUAAAAUUAAAUUGGUAUAAAUCAUUUUUUUAAAAAAAUUAAAUGAUAAACGAGGCGAGACGAGUACCCGUUGAGAUAGAGUACCCGAUACGGGUAAAGGUCAAAAAAUGGCUGACCUACAAGGUGCGGGUCGGAUCAGCCAAAUGAUAAAUGGGACGGGUACCCGACCCGCGCCCACCCCUAGGGGUCAUGACCCCUUCAACGCCCUUGGCUCCGUCAUUGCAAGAAAGGAAGGAGUCUGGUAGGAGGUAGAAACCGGGAAGAAGGACCAAGUUUGCAUGGAAGCAAUGAACAAAUGUGGAAACACUAGCGGGAAUUGAACAUCAAGAGCAAACUGAAGCUGUUCAUAUGGAAAUGCUGUUGGAAAAUUGGCUAUAUUCAUUGUAGAGUAAAUGAGAAAAUUGAUUGUAGAGUGAAUGAGAAAAUUGUUCUCAUAAUGGCACUCUUGAAAGAAUUCAGGAUAAUUAUCUUUCAUUCAUGUAUAUUAAUUAUUGAUACAUGAUUUCGGAUAGGAUUCAUGUGUAUUAAUUAUUGAUACAUGAUUUUGGAUAGGAUUCCUUUGGGGUUAUCUUAUUGAGAUACAUGUAUGUACAUGAAUGUGGUCCUUUGAUAAACGUGAAGAUAAUUAUCUGGAAUUUAACUCUUGUUGCCAAUUUCGAACAGUCACCCUAGGCUAGCAUCUAUAAAUAUCUCCUGUUGUUUCAAAAGCAAGUGCGCUCUCUCUCUCUCCUUUUCCUUCUUGCAUCUUCAUAUUUUAUAGUGUUCCAUAUUGCUCUAGUUCGAGUUCGUUGUGGUGAAUAAAGUUUGGUGCUGACAUAUUCACCUUUAAUCCGUUGUAUCCUGGGAGACAGACGCCUACUCAACCUUGAGCACUCUACCUGGAGGGGGCGAAUUGUUUUAAGGAAAUUGUGCUCACAAGCCUCGGAUUGUUACUAUUGUUAUUUUUCUAUCUUUACUUUCUUUCUAGGUUGUAUUUAUUCUUCUCUUUUGUAUCAGCCUACUUUAUUAUUUCACUAACAGUCUUAAAACAGAUUCGUUCUCAAUGGCUGACAAUACAGGAAGAGAAACCAACACAUCUACUGUUGAUGCCUCUGCCUCUGGCACAAUUGUGAAACAACCUGAAGGAAAGAUUACUCCUAUGGUUUCUACCAACCAUAGUGAGAAACCUGAGAAGUUCCAUGGCCUAAACUUCAAGACAUGGCAACAAAAGAUGUUGUUCUAUUUGACAACAUUGAAUCUCUCGAGAUUCUUAAGUGAGGAUGCUCCAAAGCUGCCUGAAGGCUUAACUGAUGCACAAGCUGUCAAUGCUAUUGAUGCUUGGAAGCACUCCGACUUCCUUUGUCGAAAUUAUGUCAUGAACUGCUUGCAUGACUCGCUGUAUAACGUGUAUCAAAUACACAAGACGGCGAAGGCACUGUGGGAAUCCUUAGAUCGGAAAUAUAAAAUCGAAGAUGCCGGAGCAAAGAAAUUUGUCGUUGGAAAAUUUCUAGACUAUAAAAUGGUGGAUUCCAAAACUGUUAUCAGUCAAGUGCAAGAAAUUCAGAUUAUCUUGCAUGAGAUUCUAGCUGAAGGCAUGAUUUUGAGUGAAACCUUUCAAGUAGCUGCUGUUAUUGAGAAGCUACCUCCUGGAUGGAAGGAUUUCAAGAACUAUCUCAAGCACAAGCGCAAAGAGAUGAGUAUGGAGGACCUUAUCGUUAGACUUCGAAUUGAAGAAGACAACAGGGGUUCUGAUUGCAAGGCAACAACUUUUGUUGAUGCUAAAGCAAAUAUUGUGGAGUAUAAGCAAGGGCAAAACUCCAAAGGCAAAAAGGCAACUCGAAAUCUUGGGGCAAAAGGGAAAAUCUCUUAGAAAUUCCAAGGUAAGUGCUUCAAUUGUGACAAAAAAGGUCACAAGUCCACUGAAUGUAAGCUUCCAAAGAAGAAGAAGCAUGAAACAAAUUUGCUUGAUGGAAUCGAGGGAGACAUGGAAAACAUGAACCUAACUGCUAUGGUUUCUGAAGUAAAUAUGAUAGGGUCAAAUCCGAAAGAAUGGUGGAUUGACACUGGAGCUACAAGACAUGUUUGCACAAACAAAGACUUGUUUACUACCUUCGAAAAAAUUGAAGGAGAAAAAAUGUUCAUGGGGAACUCUGCCUCAUCUGCUAUUGAAGGUCAAGGGAAGGUGUUACUAAAGAUGACUUCUGGCAAAACAUUGACUUUGAACGAAGUUCUGUAUGUGCCAGAAAUCCGCAAGAACCUUGUUUCUGGAUCGUUGCUGAACAAGCAUGGCUUUCGCAUGGUUUUUGAAUCGGAUAAAGUUAUAUUAUCCAAAUCUGGGAUGUAUGUAGGGAAAGGAUAUACAACCGAUGGGUUGUUCAAAUUGAAUGUAAUGACUAUUGUGAAUAAUAAGAAUAAGUCUUCUGCUUAUUUGCUUGAGUCUUCCAAUUUAUGGCAUGGUAGACUAGGUCAUGUUAAUUAUGAUGCUUUGCGUAGACUAAUUAACUUGGAUCAUAUUCCUUCCUUUCACAUCAAUUCAAAACAUAAAUGCGAGAUUUGCGUAGAAACAAAAUUAACAAGGUCAUCUUUUCAAACAAUUGAAAGAAACACCGAACCCCUUGAAUUGAUUCACACAGAUGUCUGUGAUUUGAAAUUUGUUCAAACAAGAGGUGGUAAUAAAUAUUUUAUCACUUUCAUUGAUGAUUGUACAAAAUACUGUUAUGUGUAUUUGCUCAAAAGUAAAGAUGAAGCCUUGGAAAAAUUCAUUCUCUACAAGAAUGAAGUUGAAAAUCAACUUAACCGGAGAGUUAAAAGGUUAAGAAGUGAUAGAGGUGGUGAAUAUGAAACACCUAUUGGUGAUUAUUGUGCAAAAUAUGAAAUUGUUCAUGAAGUAACUGCACCUUACUCACCACAAUCGAAUGGUGUUGCUGAACGGAAAAAUCGCACAUUAAAGGAAAUGAUGAAUGCGAUGUUACUAAGUUCAGGAUUGCCUCAAAAUAUGUGGGGUGAAGCUAUUUUGUCAAGCAAUUAACUUUUAAAUAGGGUACCCCGGAAAAAAACAAGAUAAAACUCCUUAUGAGUUAUGGAAAGGUAGGAGACCAUCCUACAAAUACUUGAAAGUGUGGGGGUGUCUUGCAAAAGUGGCUAUUCCAGCACCAAAGAGAAUAAAGAUAGGUCCUAGAACUGUGGACUGUAUCUUUAUAGGCUAUGCACAUAAUAGUACUGCUUAUCGAUUUCUUGUGUAUAAUUCAGAAAUUUCGGAUAUACACAAAAAUACGAUAAUGGAAUCAAGGAAUGCUUCAUUCUUUGAAGAUGUGUUUCCUUGUAAAUUGAUUGGUGCAUCAAGUUCAUCAAAACGAACACAUGGAGUUAUGAAUCAAGAAAAACAUGAUCAUGACUUGUUUCAACAAGAUGAACCGAGACGUAGCAAAAGGGCUAGAGUGGAAAAAUCAUUUGGAGAUGAUUUUACAACUUUUCUAUUAGAAAAGGAACCACAAACCUAUACAGAAGCUGUAAGUUCUUCUGAAGGAUUUUUGUGGAAAGAAGCAAUAAAAAGUGAGGUUGAUUCUAUUUUACAGAAUCAUACAUGGGAGUUAGUGGAUCUUCCUCCUGGUUGUAGACCUUUAGGGUCCAAAUGGAUCUUUAAAAGGAAAAUGAAACCUGAUGGCUCUGUCGAUAAGUACAAAGCCAGACUUGUAAUCAAAGGAUACAAGCAACAAGAAGGUUUGGAUUAUUUUGAUACUUAUUCUCCUGUUACGAGAAUAAAUUCUAUCAGAAUGAUACUUGCUAUCGCUGCAUUGAGAAAUCUGGAGAUACAUCAAAUGGAUGUAAAGACGGCCUUCUUAAAUGGUGAUUUAGAUGAAGAAAUCUACAUGGAGCAACCUGAGGGUUUCAUAACUCCGGGAGCAAGAAAUAAAGUUUGUAAAUUAGUCAAAUCAUUGUAUGGACUAAAACAAGCGCCAAAGAAAUGGCAUGAAAAGUUCGACAAUGCAAUGAUAACUAAUGGAUACAGAAUAAAUGAGUGUGACAAAUGUGUCUACACUAAAGAAACAGAACAUGGCUAUGUCAUCUUAUGUCUUUAUGUAGAUGACAUACUUAUUGUUGGUAGUAAUGAUAAAAUGGUUAAGUCUACCAAGGACAUGUUGAAUUCAAAAUUUGACAUGAAAGAUAUGGGGCUUGCUGAUGUAAUUUUAGGAGUUAAAAUUACAAGAAUAUCAGACGGGUUGGUCUUGAGCCAAACUCAUUAUGUGGACAAGAUUCUGGAAAAAUUCAAUACGAAUGAUUCUGGAAUUGCAAGAACUCCAUUAGACAAUAGUUUCCAUCUAUCUAAGAAUAGAGGAGAGAAUAUUUCUCAAGUAGAAUACUCAAGAAUCAUUGGAAGUCUAAUGUAUUUAAUGAGUUGUACUAGACCUGACAUUGCAUAUGCAGUAAGCAAAUUGAGCAGAUUUACAAGCAAUCCGAGUGCUGAUCAUUGGAAAGCAAUUUUAAGGGUACUUAAAUACCUACGGUACACUCGGAACUAUGGACUGCAUUACACUAGAUACCCUGCUGUUUUAGAAGGGUAUGCAGAUGCAAAUUGGAUAUCUGAUAUAAAGGAUUCAAAAUCCACAAGUGGAUAUGUGUUCACACUUGCCAGUGGGGCAGUAUCUUGGAAGUCUUCUAAACAAACUAUUGUAGCUAGAUCUACAAUGGAAUCUGAGUUCAUUGCCUUGGACAAAUGUGGAGAAGAAGCUGAAUGGCUCCACCAUUUCCUUGAAGACAUUCCAAAAUGGGAGAAACCUGUGCCACCAAUUUGUAUUCACUGUGAUAGUCAAUCAGCAAUUGGAAGAGCACAGAAUAACAUAUAUAAUGGUAAGUCUAGACAUAUACGUCGUAGGCAUAAUACCAUUAGACAACUACUCUCAACAGGAGUUAUCUCUAUUGAUUAUGUGAAAUCAAAGGAUAACAUAGCGGAUCCGCUAACUAAAGGAUUGAAUAGAGAGUUGGUUGCAAAAAUGGCAAAGGGAAUGGGACUAAAGCCCAUGGAAGGCUAAGUGUUAUAAAGGAAACCCAACCUAGCUGACUGGAGAUCCCAAGAUCUAGGUUCAAAGGGACAACCUAAUUAUAAGGACUUAGCGUAGUCAUUGUGGGGGGAUACCCCUAAACCCAUUCCGUAAUGAAACAAUGACGCAAAGGAGAAUUAAGAAUAGCACAAUGUGUGCUUUAAUGAUUCUUAAGUGAAGUAAUUUAUUACUGAAGACUUAAGUAAAUCACCUAUGUGAGAGUGAAGUGGGGCCGCUUCAAAAGAGAAUUGUUUAGGGCUCAAUUCUUAAAAACUCUUGCUGAACCAGGUUGAUGUUCAUGGCCAAAACGAACAUAACUAUGAGAACUGAACUAAUGGAGCAUGAUUCCUGUGUGAAAUAUAUGGUUCAUUUACACUAAAAAGCGAGACAGUUCAAAGACAUCAUGUCUACUGGAUUGCUAGUAAAGUAAGUGUAUUUCACAAGAGAGGGUUCAAUGGGUAACACCAACCUAUCUUAUGCAGGUUUCAGUCGUGGAACACUACUGUCGAGUCAAAUCAAAACAAUUUUUCAUUCAUGUGGGGGAUUGUUGGAAAAUUGGCUAUAUUCAUUGUAGAGUGAAUGAGAAAAUUGAUUGUAGAGUGAAUGAGAAAAUUGUUCUCAUAAUGGCACUCUUGAAAGAAUUCAGGAUAAUUAUCUUUCAUUCAUGUAUAUUAAUUAUUGAUACAUGAUUUCGGAUAGGAUUCAUGUGUAUUAAUUAUUGAUACAUGAUUUUGGAUAGGAUUCCUUUGGGGUUAUCUUAUUGAGAUACAUGUAUGUACAUGAAUGUGGUCCUUUGAUAAACGUGAAGAUAAUUAUCUGGAAUUUAACUCUUGUUGCCAAUUUCGAACAGUCACCCUAGGCUAGCAUCUAUAAAUAUCUCCUGUUGUUUCAAAAGCAAGUGCGCUCUCUCUCUCUCCUUUUCCUUCUUGCAUCUUCAUAUUUUAUAGUGUUCCAUAUUGCUCUAGUUCGAGUUCGUUGUGGUGAAUAAAGUUUGGUGCUGACAUAUUCACCUUUAAUCCGUUGUAUCCUGGGAGACAGACGCCUACUCAACCUCGAGCACUCUACCUGGAGGGGGCGAAUCUGUUUUAAGGAAAUUGUGCUCACAAGCCUCGGAUUGUUACUAUUGUUAUUUUUCUAUCUUUACUUUCUUUCUAGGUUGUAUUUAUUCUUCUCUUUUGUAUCAGCCUACUUUAUUAUUUCACUAACAAAUGCAUCGAUAAUCCACUUCCAGUGAAUAACUUAAUCUUCUCCAGAACCAAGAAGGGAGAACCUAUUUGUACUGUUCUUUUUCUGCAAAUUUGCACGAGUGUGGAGACUAGCCCCACUACAAUCGGAUGGAAUAAAUGAUCAGCAGGGGAACUUUAUGAGAUGGUGUAAUGCACUGCUGGAGGCAAGGAAGAGAAUGGAUGGAGCAGAACAUAUAGUACUAACGGUUAACUUACUGUGGCGGAUGUGGAAAGCAAGGAAUGAUAAGAGUGUUUAAACCGCACCAUACACAUCCUGUCAAAGUUGUCCAGAAGGCACAAGGGGAAUGGGGGGAAUAUACUGAAGUAAUGGAAAGGAGGAUACGAAUGAGCAUACCAGAAACAGCAAGAGAAGAGGAUGAAGAUCAAAUCAAUAAUGAAGAAGGCAAUUCCAUUAAUAUCUGCUUGCAGUCAGUGAUCAGAAGGAGGGACAGGUUUUGGGAAUUGCCAUUGUGGUAGCAGAUGCAAUCAAUACACUGCUAGCUAGCUGGGCCUUAAAGGAAAGGAGCACAGGGCAUAAUCUGCUAGAUUAUACUGAAGCCCUAAGAUUAACUUUAAGCAAAGCAAGUGAGCAUAACUGGAGGAGGAUUAAAGUUCAAGCGUCUUCGCCAAAGCUGCGGAAGCUAUUGAGGACCAAGAAAGCAAAGGACACAAGAUAAUGUGCACAGAUGGAAUAUAUCCAUAGUCUAAGCCAGUUGUUUUUGGAGUGGUCAUUUGGUCUAUCAACUAACGAAAAUAGAAGUAGAAGUAGUAUGAUUAGUAACCAUGCACUAAGCGUUAUCCAAGAUAAGGAAUGGUGGAAUCCUCGGUGUUUUUGAACACUUUUGUAUAGUUCAAUACUAGUCUUUGCUCAACCAUUGUAAAAUUACAAAGUCAGAAAUAAACUUCACGUCUAAUUUCUCAGAAAAAAAAUAAAACUUGAGGAGUAUGGCUAACUCUAAAAUUAGGAAAAGGAAAUCCAACGGUAGUGCAAGCACAAGAUAUACAAGAAUAUAAAAUAUACAUUUUUUUUACUAUGAAAUAUACAAUCUAACAGUUUUUGAAUGGAUUAAUUUUAUAUACAUUCUCAGUACGUAUAUAUACCAUGAGAAAUGAAAGGAAAAUGAGAAAAGAAAAGUCCGACACUGGAGCAUAACCAUGAGAUAUGAAAACUCUAUCACCGUAUUCUUAAGAGCAAUGUAACUAAAUUGUGUCCCCCCUAAAAAAAUCUCAGGCUCCAUCCCUAGAAGAAUAACAGUUGGGAGAAGCUGCAGCCAUAAGAUUAGCACUUAAUAUGACAGAAGGAGCAGGAUGGAGGAAGGUAGAAAUAUAGUGAGAUUGCAAAGAUGUUGUUGGCAGAACAUUGCCAAGUCCAGAACAUGAGCCAUCAUAGUUAAAGACAUAAGAGAGUCAGCUGCUACUUUUGACCUAGGUUCAUUUUCAUAUACUAAUAGGAUAUAGUAAAUGUAGUAAGUCGCAAACUUACAAAAUUUGCAUCUAAAUUAGCCAAGGAUGUAAAGUCGAAAUGAAACUUCCCGCUGUAGCUUGUAGAUCGAGCAGGCACAAGUAGAUAUGAGGGCAAUGGUCCGAAUUUAGAUUGCAAAAUCUUGAAUUAUCAAAUAUUAAUGAAUUCUAACUUUUGGCCAAAAAAAAAUGGAUGUGAGAUAAGAAAAGGAAUGGUUUUGAAGAUCAAAAUGUGAUUUUAACAAGAAGUUUAUGAAGGUUUCUAUUCCAAAUUAUGACCAAAAUCCAAACAAAUUAGUAUUUUUGGCAUAUUAUGUGAUUGUGCAUAUCUAACAAUGUGUUGGUAAUUAAUAUUGUUGUUGAAAUCCUAAUCCUACUGUUAUGACCUUGCGGUUCUACUAUUCGAAUUUAUGAAUUCGAUCCUGAUCUUCAGAUCAAUAGAGUUUGUAAAAUUAUAGUUACGUCACUAGAAGUUUUUGGAUUUAACUCUAUAUUACUUAAGCUAAGAAAUCUCUCAAUAAUUUGGAAUUUGAAAUCUUAUUUUACGAAUUUAGAUCAGUCAUAUUUAAUUUUUAAACAUUCAGGCACAAAGUAAAAUAGGGUCUAGAGUGACUUGAACUUUUAUGCUUUUAACAUAUAAUGUUAUAAAUUAUAUGUUUUAGUUAAAAAAAAAUCAUUUUUUAGUCUAAUAUUGCAUAUCCUACAUCUACCAUCUUUUCCUCGGCUACAAGUGUAUAAAUAACUAGGAUAUUGGUUUUUUUAUAGGUUUAUAUUUCAUAUAAAAUCUUAUGGUUCCACGAUUCUACCUACGAUAUGAUUGUUUUCUCUCUCCAAGACUCUCUCUCUCUUCUUUUUUUUAAAGCAAUUAUUUUUCCUCCACUUAAGUAUAACAGUCUUACAUUGAAAUUUUGGCUUCCCCACCAAAAAAUUUAAAAAAUAAAAAUAAAGAUGAUAUGCUUGUUUUUCUCAGCGUUACGAUAUUACCACAUGAGAGACCAUAUAACAUUUUUCUGUUCCAUUUGAGAAUAGGAAGAGUAAAAGUCUUAGAAACACCACUCCACAAAAAUCCUUGUAACAUGAGAAAAAAAGAUUUUCGACACAUUUUUUUUUAAAUUUUUUUAUCUCGCAUAUAUUAUAUUGCUAUUGUAUUUUUUUUACCAAAAAAAACCUCUAAAAACUUGCAAUCCAAACGAGUUCAAAUGAUUUUAAUACAUUUAUCGCUUUUUCGUCAAAGUUCUCACAAAUUUAUCAAACACUUUAUUGCUUGAAUUGACUUUGUUUUUUGGAAAAGACAAUCAUGCUUUUAGAUGCUCCAUUCUAUUGUAUUAGGUUAGCUGCAUUUACAUUUUCACGUCAAACAUACCAAGGAUAAAUCAAUCUUGAAAGAAAGCGGUAGUGUAAAACACAUGCAAGCACCUUUCUUCCUGUCUAUUGCGCUUUGUUCUCACCCUUACCUGCAUAAACUAUACAUUGCAUAUAUCUUUCUCUUUUGGAGUCCAACUUGCCUUUAUAGCUCUCUCUCUACUUUCAUACCCUGAAGCUUGUGCAUGGCAAAUAUCAGGCCUUCUGGUCCCCUUUUUAUAUAUUUCUUGCUGUACCAAAGGGCCUCUAAAUGAUAAAUCUUAUUCUCAUUGUGAACCAAAGUAUACCUCAAAAUUAGAAUAUUAGUACAACAAAUGCCUGUCAUUGAGGGUUGAGAAAAGCAUGAUAUGGCAGAAUGUCACGCAUUGACGGUAAGACAUGAGUAGAAUCUCAUCAAAGCCCUAAUUAAUCAGUACAGCAUGUUUGCCAAAUAAUUCCAAAAAAGUUUCUUAUUUCCCCCUUAAUCCCAUCAGACUAGCUCAGUUCAAACAAUAAUCUUCGAACACCCCAGGCUCCAUGUUCUCACCUCAUGGUCCGGAGAUUUAGCGAGAUGGACAUCCAUCCAGUGGAACUCUAUCCAUAUGCACAAGUUUUCCCAAUGCUUUCGAGGCAGGAUAGUUGGGAUCCGUGGUGUGCGUGUGCAUGUGAGUGUGCGUGAGAGAGAGAGAGAGAGUCAUCUUUCGUCACUCUGACCAAAUUGCUUUUGGAUGUCUUUGAAAGAUAUUGUAGCCGAACCCCUCUGUUUAGCCUUCUGUUGUGAAGGGUGCUCCCUCCAACCAGUCAUAUAUAUUACCUAAAACAAUCCCAAUGGACAAUUAUCAAGACCAAACAUAUAUAUAGAAGAGAGCGAACUCUGAGAAAGCAUAGGUUGUCUUAUUACUGAGUCUGAAAAUAGAGCAUUUCCUCUAAUUUGCAUGAGAUGGCAAAAAUGGACAAUCAUAAACAUGCGAAAGUUCAAAAAACUAAGUCAUAAUUAAGGGACCUUUUCAAUGAUAAGAACUCAGCAUCUGGGGAACAGAGAAGUUACUAACAAUUAACACAACAUGAACAUAAUAAGCAAUGAAAGAUAGAUGCAAUGGAAGCAACUAGGAACUGGAAUUAAAAGUUUCAGAGACAAUAUUGGUGCAAUGGUUGACAAUAUGCAUCAAAAAGGAGGAUAAAAUGAUGCAGCACCAAAUCGUUAUGGGAGAAUAAUAGAUGAAAACUCACAUUAAGAAGUGAAUGUACAAUAAGGGCGGAUUUGGAACUAACAUCCCUAACGCAAGCUGAAACUUUCAGCACAGAAAACCUUUGAGAUCCUGUCAUUGCAGUUAUAGAGUAACUGAACCAGAACAACAGGGAUUUGGGGAGAUAACAACAGGGAUUAGGUAAAGAUAAUUUACCUAAUACCUGUUGCUAUCACCUCAAAAAGUCUCUUCUGGUUACAAUGCCAGUGAAAAGAAAAGCAAAUGGAAAGCAGUGAAAGCCUCAAGAUCUGGCAAUCAGGUAUCGCGUUUGAUGCUUGUAAUGAUUUGCUUUUGUUUCCCAAAGCUAGGUUGGAACACGCACAAGUAGUGGGAAAGAUCCCAAGGACUUCCAUAAGUGUCUGGAAACAGAACUGAUGAUCAUAAAACCAGGGUUGAUUGAGACCAGAGACAUGGGGAUGUAAUUGGGAGUGCCCUUGCUGCACUCCCGACCUUCCAGCAAAACUUAUUCUGUACCAGAUAAAGUGAGGAAACAGAGGGUGGAAGAGGAGAAAAGCUCUCCAUUGUGGAAGGACCAUACUGGUAAAACCUGUCUUAGUGGUAAUUUCCUGCUGACCUCAGCAGUAGAUGAGAUUGAGCAAAAUGCCAGAGGUUUCUUAUGUGGAAACAAUGGAGGAAGGAAGAUGCAUCAUGAAGGCUGGCCUUGAUAACUCAAGCCAAAAAUCAAUGAGAUCUAGACAUCAGAAGGCUGAGAAGGGUGAAUAUGCCUUUACUUCCCAAGAUGAAAAGGAUAUUUGCAAGAUAACUUAACUUACACCAGGCAGGUUACUUACAAGCAAAUAUUGCAGAGGGAAGGAAAGGAUGAAAUUUCCAGUGAGAGUAUCAGGGCUGGGGAAUGACAUUAGAUAAAGGAGUCCAAUGGAGGUUGGGAACUAAUGAACCCCUGCUCUAGUGGAAGGACAGAUGGCUACAAAGUCACCCUCUCUUGGAGACUGUAAACCAAAUAAACCCAGAGGAUGAGGUGAGCUGGAAAGUUAAGAUCAUUGGAGCUCACUUGGAGACUGGAAUUGGCGCCAAUUAAAGAACUGUCCUACAUCAGUAACAAUGCAAGACAUCAUGAUAUUAACAAAGCCAAUGAACUGCAUUAUCCUGCCCCAAGUUCUGCCAAACAUCAACCUAAGUAAGUAUGAGAGAGAGCAAAGAGAGAAUUUCUUGAUUCCAAUGAAGACAUCUUACAGCCGUUAUCUAGCUCCAUGUAUAAAUUUAGUAUAGUGCUUGAGAAUUCUCUCUGAAUUUGAUUUAUCCACAUGUACAAGAAUUUGGAGCAACAUAAUGACAAGAAUCAAUUGACAAACAUAAUUCAGGAUCGCCUACCCCAUGAAUCCUAUAUGUGGGGCCAUUAGUUAUGACAACUGUUUCUUAAAGGAAUUGCAGAAAUUCUGGCUACACUAUUUGGAAUAACUCUCGUCAUAUUAAGGAGAUUUCGUAAACGUUACUAAAAUUCAUUAUGAUUUCAUGUACUUACCAAAAGUUUGCAACAUAAAAUUACCUAGAAAGUCCUUAAAAACCUUAAAAGCCAUGGAAUUCAACCCAUUCCAAGGGACAAAAACAACCAGUAACUUUAUCCAACAAGCAGUAGAGAUUUACACAUCGACGAUUAGCUGCUGUCCGCAUACAUAUACAAAAUCAGGUACUUUCAUAGAAAAAAGGUAAAUUAGACGCUGACUUUUUGUAUACUGUUGGGCCCACUUGAAGUUUAUUUAGUAGUGUAAGAAGGAAGGAACAAACAUUUAAUUAAAGAAAUACACUACAGGAAUGGAAAUUUAAGUACCUGGAAUGUUGCUGGUACAGUUCCAUCUUCUGCUGCAAACAUUGACUCAUAAACAGCUGCGGUUGCAAGGGCUGUUUCUCUAUUUAGAAUCUAGUUCACAUUAUGAAGAAAUUAUGUGAGACAGUAGCAAAGUAUUAAACAUUUACUUGAGAAGGAAAAUAUGAUACUGAAAAUGGUGGAAAACUAGGAUACUCAUAAUGGCACUUAGAAGGAUGAAUUAGUUGCAGAAUGUCUUACCUUGCCCCUAUGUAUAAGAGCAUUUGAUUCGCCCAUUGCACGUAGAUGCUCUAUCAACUCCAGAGCUACCCCAGCAAAAGGGAAAGCAAUCAGUAUGUAUAAUACGAAAAACAAAUGGAAGAAAAAAGUGCACAUAUAAAAGAUAAUAUAGCGAAAAAUUACAAAUUCUAAAGCAGUUUGCUGCCUUGGUAGGACAACCAUUGAGCAUAUGUGGUCUGUAAACAAAUAGUUUUAACCUAUCAAACCAACAAAAAGGGGGUAUACCAAACGGCCAGUCUGACACAAGCGGAAGUGCAAACAGCGCAGCAUCUUAAUUUGAUUCACAACUAUGAUAUGGAUUUUUAGAUGAGAACCAGAGAGAAUGUCUUCUAGGACACUAUCUUAGCACAAACUCUCAAAGUUAUAUGCAAAAACCUCAAGAAAGCACCAUUCUUUCUCCGAAAGACUAAUCCAAAUAGAAAGUAAAAAUCACUAGGAUCCUAUAUCACCUAAGAGAAGAAAAUCACCAGAAAUUCUAAAAUAACUAGCUUCUGGUACUUUUACAGUGACUCUAUGGCCUGCAUGUGUCUUUGUACAUGCUUUCGACAGGGCAUGAUUGACGCAUUUAUGUUCAAGCUUAUUACAAGAAUUAAAAUCAAAUGAAGAAAAGCAUCACCUAGCAGGCUAGCAGCUCAAACAGUGAAGAUAGCCAAAUAGCAGAGCAUUCCUACAAUAUUUUACAGCAUGAACCUACCCAACUUCCAUAGAUAGGCCAAGGCCACAAAAGAAGCAAGUUGAAAAAAAUUUUAUUACCAAAUUAAAAACUAAAAGACAAUUGGGUUAGCUGUGCUACUAAAUAAGACAGUGCAAAACCUCCAAGACCAUUAAAAACCGACUUUAGAAACCAUGACAAAGCAACAGUUGAGAAUCUAAUCCAAAGCAAGCAUAUCUAAAUUAUCAGGUCUCUCGGGCGCUACAGUCAGUCUAUAUAAACAACAUUCUCUACAGCUCAAAUUACCAUGCUCAACUUGUUCCUUUUUCACUCUCCCCUCAAAAUCACAUUUUACAUUAAUAACUACCAAUCAGAAGAUUUCUCCAAUCUAAUAGUUACACAAAUGAACUGGACAUAAAUAUGCACCAGGAAACCUAAAAUCUGAUCAUCUUUUUCUUACUCCCUCCGUACCAUAAAAUUUGUUGCUUCUAGGGAUUUGGACUAGGUUUCAACAGCAAACAUCAAGUUCUUGCUUUUUGCCUACUUUCAACUUUUUGCCUCCAGGAAUUGUUAGCAAAGCCUAUGCAUGGAAACUCCAAAUACUCGCAAUCAAGAAAACAAUGUGGGGCCAAAUUCCAAAUACCCACUGUCAAACAAGACAAACAUAAAUCAAUUAUGUAAUUGUUCACAUGCUAUUAGUGCUCUGUUGGUGCAACUACAACUGUUGCUCACAAUUAUGGGGCCAAAUAGUUUGGAUAAACAUUAUUCUCUAAUGGAAGGGUCAAUCAGAAAUAAGAGAUAUAUGAAUGAGGAGAGUGUAAUUAAGGUAUUUGUUCAACGAUGUGGACAUGAAUAAUUCUGUAACUGACUUAGGUUACAAAACAUUGCAAGCCUAACGAGUGCUGCAGUUGAUUUGUGAGGUCAUAAUUUCAUUGUAGAGGAUGUAGACUCAACCCUUUGAAGAUCCAGCAGUGCCUGGAGCUUCAAACAAAAGGUUUCCGAGCAGUUCCUGGAGCUUCAAACAAAAGGUUUCCUUUGGUGAUGCUAUGAUGUCAAAAAUUAUUUCACAAAGCACGAUGAAAUAAUUCUUCACAUUAAAGUUUUAUUUAAAUUAAGCCACCCUAGGUUAUGGCUGACCAAGCUCAAACUGUAAGGACCUGCCAGGCUGAGUCUAAUGCCCUACUCCAAAAACAAAAGAGAUCUAAGAAAACAAAGACUACUGGUUAUCGGCAGAAAGAUGUACACAUUCUACGCUUAAUUGCUGCUACUACUUGGCAGUGACCUAGCUUUCCCUACCUAUUGUAACAUUUAUUACAUGGCCCGAAAAGAAAAAAAUAAAGACUAUAUGUUCUGGGUAAAGUUUUAAUGUAAAACAAGUGGCUUAACUAUAAGGAAUGCAAUAAAACCUGGUUCAAGAGCAUGGCUAUUUUCACGGAUACUGAUUUCUUCAAGCGGCCAUAAAGAAUGAAGCUUACGAGGGAUGAACAAGAAGAAGAAGAAUCAUCUAAUAUGAGAAAAGAGAGUUUAAAAACUAAAUGUUAUAAAGUUGCAAAUGAUAACAAUGGAGCCCAAAAAAGGAAUGCAUAAGACAAAUUUUUCAAACAGUUACAGCUGUGAUUGAUUUCACCAAGUGACAAUUUAACCCGCUAUAAAAGCUCUUUAGAGAGGUUGAAUGCACUAUUAAUUUACUUAUGACCUUCUUGUCAAUCUUACUCCUAUUAAACUGUGUUUUCAAGUAUCAAGAAGUAAAUAUAAACAGAGUUUAACUAUAAGCCUAUAACUUUACCAAAGGUUCAAGAUUAACAAGCAUCCUUCUUGACAAGAACCUAGUUAACCACAAUCAAGUGAAAGGGUAAAUACAUCAUGCGUACAAGCUACAAGGAUACAUAGCUCUUUCAAGUUGACAAGCCUUGAAAAGUAAAGCUCUCAAAGCCAAUGGAAAAAAAAACUUACGAUUUUUAUAUCUAACAGUGUAUUCAUCAACAUCAACUCCAGGAAGCAUGAAGCCUGCUCUAGUCAAAAGAUUACCAGCAUCUCGCACCUAGACAUCAACAAAGCUGUUUUGUCAUAACUUCCUGGUAAAUAGUAUUAUAAGCAGCUAAGGCACCCAUUUAUGCACACACGAAUAUGACCAGGAAACUUAAAAAUUUGAUCAUGUUUUAAUACUAAGUUUCAUGCCUUUUCACCUAAGAGAUUUUUUCCCCAAAAAAAAAGAAGAAAAAGACAGUGUAACAAGGUACUACCUCAAAUGAACGAGAAGCCUAAGAAAAUGCAAAAGGAAUAGUAUUGCAGUUGCUUAGAGACAGACCAGAUAAUGUGACCUUUUCUCAAGUAUCCAAGAAAUUUACACAAUCAAAGUCUCAUAAAUUUUCUGUCAAAUGGUCAACUAUCAGAGAAAUGUGGCCUGUGUAUUUAAUGCCUUACUCUUGAUGUUACAUAUCCUGGUAUAUAAGAGAGGAAUCGGUCUAGGGUAACACGAAAAGACAGACAUGAAAAGAAAUUUCCAUGGUGAUAUAAUUUGCUGUACCAAGCUUAGUGGAAAAAAACUGUUGUAAGUGCAGAUCAACUAUUUGAUAAUGCCAAAACAGGUAAGAAAAGAAUUUCCUCCCGUGAGAAGAUUCUAUAAGAGAAUAAGCUUUUCUCCUUUUCCAUGUGGUGACAUCAAUUUAAAUUAACAACUGAAUCUCUUUAAAAGUUCAUGCAAUUUUGAAAUUGACAACAAUGUAGGACAAAUAUUAGGUAAAAAGGUACAGUUCAAGAGUACAUCAAGCACAAAUGCCCAUAGGCACAGCACUUUCUUCAAGGAAGCACUAUGCUUCUCUGUGUACGUGCAAAGGUGAAAUGACAACCUUCAUAAACUGAAUUUGUUUUUCUCUAAGGUGAUCUUCAGAACAAUACGGGUCACUAAACAACACAAAGGCUUAAGAGGCUACCUGUGCCAAGGGUGAUAAACGUGGACUUAUGCCUCCUUCACGUUCCAUUUGUGCUACAGUGCAUGCUAUUCUUAGCUCCCUACAAGAUACCAGCAAUUACAAAACUGUAAACUUAUGCAUUGGAAAACAACUACAUCAGUUAAACAAAAAGUCAUGACAAACUUUAAUGUGUCUCCACCAAGGAUUGCUGCGAGAAAGAGGCCAUCAGGCUUCAAUGCCAAUCUAGCCUGUUAAAAACACAAUGGUAUGCGUGUUCAUCAUUUCAACAACGUCCCCUAAAGAACUAUUGGAUGUAAAUACUGCAAAGUUUGGACUGAUAGGUGCAGUAGAGGAUGAGCAAUAAGAAAAACAGAAUGCACCUGUAUCAUGGCUCCAGGAAGAUCAUUAGUCCAGUGGAGUCCCAAGCAACUAAUAACCAGAUCCAGAGAACUUGACAUUCACAGCAGAAAUUCUCAGUAAGUACUGUUUUGCAUUAAUAAACACAUGAAUCAGAAGACAAAAAUAUGACCCAGCUGGCAUAAAAACCCAUAGCGAUUCAACUAAACAUACCUUUCUUUAAUGGGCAAAAAUUCUUCAUCUCCAACAACAUAUGACGUCUCUAUAUUUUCGUUAGGCAUUCUCAUCUCAGCAUUUUUACAUAAUUUUACCAUGUCAUUUGAUGUAUCCAUCAUGAUUAGCUUUUCAAUACCACCUGAUAACUAAAAACUUUAGUUACAAUACAGAAUAAUAUAGGCCCAACCAAGAAUUAUAAAUGAAGAAAUCCAAAAUUGUGCUGCAGUUAGAAAACACAAGUUUUGAGCAAGGUGAUUCUCAGAGAACAUACAAGAGUUAAUGACACGGAUGAAAUAUAUCCGCCAGGAUCUGGUCGAUCUACCAUAGGCCACAAUAUGUGAUGUAAUUUGUAUAUUUUGGAGUACCAGGUGUUCUACACAAUUUGGAAGGUCACACAAUGUUUUCUGAUACCAUCAACUUUAUUAUAUACAUAUGGAAUCUUUCCGAUCUAAUAGAUAUCACUACUGGAGAUGAUGAACAAAAGCUUUAAAUUGUUUCAGGGUGUUCUAGCAAAUGAACCUAAAGAUGACGAUUACUUAGGAAAUAUAGACACAAUUUCUUGAAUCCUUUUCCCUCAUAUACUUCUCUUAUCUUUGGACUUAAUUAUUUUUCCAACUAAUUGCUCUUCAAACUUUCUAUUGACCUGAAUACCAUAUUAACUAACAAUUAAUUGCGACUCAUCAUCCAUGCCUUUGACUGUCAUAUUUAUCCAAAAUCCAUUUAAGUGUCACCAACAAAGCCUUUAAAACAUUAUCACCUAAGCUGCCUCAACCUGUUCUAUUCUAAUUCUCUUUUACUACCCAUCUCCUGGAAAACUUCUGCCAUAUCUCUCCACAGCACUCAGAUGAAAAGUCUAUUUUGUUCCAGAUUUUUUUAUGGGACCACAUGAUGCAAAUACAGUAAACAACAAACAAAAUAGAGCAAUUAUACUCCUGUAGAAUUCAGAAACAGCUGGAUUUUCAUAGACAAAUUGAAAAGAAAUGCUUGAAAAGAAGUAAAAUGGCCAACUUUUCUACACCUAGAUGAGCUUAAUGGCUUACACUAGCAGUGAAUGCAUCAUGUUCUUCAAAAUAUGAAAAGAGACCACCUAACAUCAUGAAAACUUCAGAAUGCCACCUUCAAUCUGACAAUGGAAUUUCCAUUGUACACUGUUUGUCUUACAUAACAAAGUUCUAUUACUUUCAGACAGUUAAUGGGUCCAGGCUAAGAACGCAGAAAGUCUUGAACAUAAACAAGCGAUAUUCUCCAUCCUAAAUAAGCCAUUAAUCGCUCUAAAAAUCAAUUUAGAUAACUUUCUUCAUAUCAUGCAUCCAUGAAAUACCCUGAGUGUUCUCAUCUUCAAGACGUAAGCUCACAGAAAAUUAAAAAACAGAUAUGUAUUAAGUAACCCUAUAUAGAAGUCAAUACUCAUCUAAUAUUUCACUUCAUGGUAGAACCAUGUGCUGCCAACAAUAAUACAGAAGUAACAGAUACAAAAGGGCUAAAAUUUUAACUCUUACCACGUCCCCUUAACAAACGACGAACAGCUUCCAGUGAUCCGCCCAUACACAAUGUGGUAGGAAAGGUCCUUUUACAAUCCUAGAGAGAAAAGGGGGGACCCAAUUCAAACCAAGAAAAAGUUCAGAAUUACAAUUUAAUUGGCUGACAUAAAGGGUUGUAAGAACUGGAAAAGUAAGUUAAAACUUGCUCUUCAUUGUUGUUUUCACUAAGUUGAUGAUCUUCAAGUCUUACAAGCUGUUAUUUCACAUAUUAGCUACAAGCAAACUCUAACAUAGUACCCUUUACAUUUUACAACAUGUUGCAAGAUACUGAUUAAGCAAUUGAAGUCAUAUAAUUCUACAAUAGAAGAUAUGAAACAAGUUUCAUACUUUUAAUAUGUAUAAGGUAAGUUUAAGAUCAGUUCAACCACAAGAGCCAAUUCAAAUUUAAGAAGCCAUACCAAGCAUAUGACCAACAAUAUGUCUAUAGUCUACGAGUAUUCCAUCACCAAAACAGCAUCAAAUAAUUGAGACAAAACUAUUUUGUACUCUUUGAAAAUUGAUUUAUUUACAGAGAAAGUUUAAAGUUAAUUGCAGAAAAAAAAUAGAUUAUUAAUUGGAAUUGAACUUGAAAGUAGGUGCAGGCAACCAAAGAUGUUCCAUCUAGAACUGAGUAUGAGGCAUACAAGUUAGAUAAGAAAAGCAAUUUGCAACUGCAAUCUGUGCCAAAACCUAAAGGGCCACCAAAAGAAAUACAGUAUAAUAAUGUAACAGAUAUUUGAUAAAAUGGAUGCUGGGAAGGACAAAAGUUGGAGCCUUUACGCUAAAUUGACAAAUCAAACACUAAUAUAACUCAAGCAACAAUAGCACAGUUAGCAAAAGCUCUUCAAUGAAAAGAUCAGUAACAUUUUUACAGAGCAUAUCACUAUAAAAUCUGAUGCCUGACCUAGUUACAAACAGUCUGUGAUCAUAUACAGCUUUCUCCAUCAACUAUUCUUUAAUAAUUUUCUUGCAUUAAGUAUCGCACAGAUUUCAAUCAUUACCCUUCCACGAAUAUCUUCCAAUUAAUGAACUCUUACAGUUCAUAGAUGCAAAAUUACACGUCAUUUCUGCUUUUGACUGUAACUUAAAGAGGACAAACCUAAUCAAUAAAGCCUACGGAAUGGAAGCAAUAGAAACAUCAAAAGUGUAAGGUUAUCAUGUUUUAUAAGGAACAGGGGAAGCCAUAUCUGCAGGAUAGAAAUUUAAACUUUUAACAAAGAAGAAAACCAUAUGAACAGCUCAAAACUACCACAACAGUUCCCUUAUCCGACUAUCAUAUUGAAAGAAUUUACACUCCAUUUUUUCUCUUCAUCUCUGUACAAUAUGUAACUAUUUCAAUCCUACAAGGCAAAUCUUGAAAUGUUAAUCGCCUAAUACUAUUGUUUAGAAACAAUUCAACCAUCAGAGCCGAAUAAUUCCACAUUCAAAUCGAAGCAAAUUACUACAAGAAGAAAAAUAAAAUAAUCAGUGAAAAUAAAAUAAAAAAUAACAGCAUAUUAUAUUACUACCUCCAAGCGAUCAAGCAAAUUUUCAGCCACAGCAUCAACCAAAGAAUCCUUUGGCUGCAUCAACCAUGCAGCUCGAUCGCGCUGCCAUUAUCAAAUGUAAGGCUUUAACAAGGCCUCCACUACAAUUUACAUGCAGUACAGAUUAAACCACCCAAAAUUCGAAAACAAAAAAUUGAACAGUAGGACUAAGCAAUUAAAUACAUAAAUAAAUAAAAUUUCCCAUAGGAAAUGAAAAAAUGCUCAACUUGUUUCCGCUUGAGAUGGCGGUCGAAGAUUUUCACUUUCGAGCUCUGACCGGCGUCGUCUGCGAUUUCGGUUGAAUAAAGCCUUUUCCAUAUUCCUCCCCCUGCUAAUAGGCGUCUCUGCCAAAAUUUGAUUGAAGAUGUUCUCAUCUUUUUUUUCCUUUUUUCUCUUCCCUUACAAUUGAUUUAAAACUGCCUGGAUCGGGCCGGGUCGACUGUGUGCGGGUCCGGUUGCGCUCCACUUGGCAACGCCUGGGGAAGGAAAAGAGACGACUUAAAUCCCUCCAAGUUGCCGGACGUUUCCAGCUUUUCCUGUAAUUUCAGUCCCCUACCUAUAUUCUUCAACUAGUUCGAAAUUAGUCCUUUCGCUCAUGCUUAUGCUUUCUUUCCUUCUUUUUUUUCCCCCUUUCUUUCUUUCUUUCUUUCUUUCUUUUUGUUUUCCUCUUUCCAAUAAACAUUUAAACCAUUCACAAGUUUGUUCAGUCAAAAUUUAAGUUCAAAGUCGCGUUUACCUCACUCUUGCCAAAUUUGAAUAAUUAGGUUACACAUAAGUUCAAAAGAUUGAUAAGUGCGUAUAUAUUUUAAAGAAAAUCUUUAUAGUAUGUUUUCUAAAUCAAUAGUUAAUUAUGAAAACUCGUAUUGAUCUCACUCGAGCCAAUUUUGAAAAACUAAGUUAUUCGUAAGUUCGAAAUGUUGACAAGUGUACAUAUAUUUUAAAAAAAAACCUCUAUAGUAUGUUUUCUAAAUUAAUGGUCAAUUAUGAAAAGCUAUAAUAAUAAGAAACAAUAACGACGACGAGCCUUUGGGGAACCAUUUUUGACCUACACAUGCUGCUGCAGCACAAUGGUGCUUUAGACAACUUGCAACCCUUAAAUAACCGCAGGAUGAUGAAUAGCAAUUGAGCCAGAUGUUUUGGGAAUUUGAAGGGGUCUAAAAAGAAAUAAAUAUGAGCAAGAGAGGCAACAAAAAAGGGAAACCGUGGAUAAGUGUGACGACCCCACUUCUCCCAAGGGCGAACCCAAGGGUAUCGGCGGGCCGCCUGCCUAACUCGCGCCAGGACUCAAAACUUAAAGCAAUCAAACGAGAUAGAUCGAAAGAGCACUAUAUACAAUAUAUACAAUCCCAAAAGUUAUAUUUACAUCUUCAAAAGUCUCGAGUCAAACCAUUCUAAUAUACUACAACCACAACCAGCAGAAGAUAGACCCUAAGAAGGGUCCUUAUACAAACCACCAAAACAAAAACAACCAUCCUAACUGUUCAAUUAUUACAAGCCAAUCUAACUAUACUAGCAUACGAGCCAAAAGUCCCCGCGUCGGCCCCUGCUAAGGAAAACAAAAGGAAAGGGGUAAGCUAUAUGCUUAGUAAGUAAACAGGGGCGAAAGCAUAAAUUCACGUAGCAACAAAUACCCAAUAAGAGUAAAGCAAAAGCAGAAAAGAACAACAUCAUAUAAUAAGGAUACGGGUGGCUCCAAAGCCAAUUCAUGUGCCAUGUAUGAUCUCCUGCCGACACUCCGUCGACCGCAAAUAAUAGUCCGUAGAACUUCACUUGUACACCCACCGACACCUUAUCACCCUCACUGGCCAGUCACCUCACAAACUUGCCCGGGCGAACGAAAUCACAAACUUGAGCUUGAGUCACAAGUUCGGGUCACAAACUUGGUCACCUUUUCGGUGAACCGGAUUCACAAAAUUGGUUCAUAACAUGAACCUACAAACUUGGUGACCUCAGACCAAGUUGGACUGACUUCGACCAAGCCCUAACCGGCUCGAAUAGUCCAAACAGGUCUUAGAUCGGGCCCACGAACUCACAAACUUCACAAAACUUUACUCGAAAGUCGCCCCGAGCCACAAGCUCAAGGGUUUUGGUUCCAAAAGGUUCAUAUACAUAUGCCAAGUACAAUUAUACAUUUAAAUUAGGGUUUAGGUCGAGUGCGAUAAAGUACACCCUCGCCUAAGUACCCUUUUCACAUAUCUCAAACACAUAGCAAAGAAACACAUCAAACCGGCCUGAAUACUUACUCAAAAUACCGAAAGUAGUACGAAAGCAAAAUCGCUUUGCGCGUUCGCUAGUAGUGGGCCCCACCGGCUCCGCCUAGCUCACCGCUGUCUGAAAUAGAAGAUUUUAUCACAAACGGCCACUAACAUGCCCAAAACAAGCAAAACGGCAAAAUGACACGCGCGCACGUAAAUAUGACGGACGGAAACGGAAACGGCAGAUUUGAUACUCAUUUCUAGUUUACCCAUAAGUUGAGCUACGAAUAUCGGAUUAAGGCGUAUAAGAUGCCAAAUCGAAGCUUAAAGGAUGAACAAUAACUGUUAUGAAGACAUCCAGAACUGAAACUGGAGGCUUCAGUCCCAAAUGAACCAAACACAAUCACUUACGAAAUCUGGCCAAUGCACAAAUGGUCAGUUUUGAGUGCGAACUGUUUUCUAUGCUACACAUGGUCAAAAGAGCUGAAAAUUGGCAGUUAGAUAGUUCAUUCCAAAUGGAACAACUUUCAUGAAGGUCGGCAAUCCAAAUUCGGAACGGAAAUUGGUCAUCAGGACCAAAACAGAUCUGACCAGAAAAUGGUCAUCUUCACGGCCAGGCCUUAUUUGCUCGGCUAUAUCUCAGGUUUUAUAAAUCCGAUUCAUGAAAUUCCAAGGGCGAUAGAAAGCUCUGAUAUAAGGCUAUAAGUUUGGUGUUUUGGUCGCAAGCUCAAACAGCUUGUAACCCAGUCAAAUGUGAAGCCAAAGUUCCAGUCGUAAACUUUCCAAAAACGUAACAGAAUUUGCUGGUCAAAACAGGUCUGAGUAUUUCGUUUAUAGCUCAGGAUAUAUGAUGCGAUUGAGCACGAGACCCAAAGUGUACAAGUAGACCCUGUGAAGGUGCCCCUAGGCCCAGUGACACGAGCACGAGCUAAGAGAUUCAAGGAGUCCCUCCAAGCCUUGGUACGUGCCAUCCAAAUCCAAGAGAAACCGGCCAUUGAAGGAAUUGAGUUGGAAUAUCCUUGCACGACUACUAAAAUGCUGCUUACAAUUGAAGAUGCAAGUGUUCAAGCUCCAAAUAGCGGCCUAUGAUCUAUAGUUAGUUGGGCUAGCUUUCGGUCAAGUGGAGGCCCAAGGGCCUGGCCGAAAUUUCCUUGUUAUCUUUCCAGUUUAUUAGGUCUUAGUCACGGCUAUUAAUAGCCUCAAGCCGCAUGUUACAUUCAGUUUUUGAGAGUAUUGAAUAAAAUUUCCAGAAUUUCGUCCAUUCCUUGUGGCAAAUUCCCUUAGCUUGUGAAAGCUAAGUUGAACAUCCUAGAGCUGAUCCUAGGCUGUUCGUGACUUAUCAAUCAAGCACACAUACUUGAUUGUGGCGUCCUCUACCGUUAAAUCUGUUCUUGGGUGGUCCAAGUUCGGGUUCAACUCCAUCAAAUCUUCAUCGUGUUCCUCUAGAUCCGAAGUUGCUUCCGCGUCUCGCAUCAAUAUACUAAUCCGUUUAACCUGAAAAUUUACAGGGAUAUCCAGGACUUAAGGGGCUACAAUGUUGAAGAAGGAAACUUUGUCCAAUUUUGAAUGUAACAAGGUCAAAAAUGCAAGACACUAUACCAGAAUUGCAAAACAGGAUCACAAACCGUAUUUGACCUUAAUAUGCGGUAAUGGCACCAAAUUCACUACAGUUAUCGGAUGGGGGUGUAAGACCCACCGUUUCGAAGCUAGGAAACAGGGCUACAACACUAUAGAAGGUCACUCAGUCCAAAUCCUAACACAACUAGGUCAAAUAUGCAAAAUACUAAACCAGAAUUACCAAAACAGGUCUGCAAAACACACAAAACUGUAAUCGGUAUAACUCAGUCUAUACAAGUCCAAAUGCCGAAAUUCCAAAGGCAUAUGAUAUCUAAGACAUCCAGCUACAUUUCAUCAGAAGACACCAACAUCCAAAUCCAAAGUGAUUCCAGCCAAAAUAGCCAAAUACCAACGCAGUUUUCGCAUUCUGACCAAAGCAGAACAGCUACAGUAAUUCCAACAUAACUCACUCUACACUAAUCCAAAUGACCUGAAAUUUUGCAGGCACCUCAAACACAUCAAUACCUACAACUUUCAUGUUUUAAGCCAAGGCCAAAUCGGCCUCUAACAUGGUGCAAUAAAUUCGGGCAGAAUGUAGCUUCAUGAACCCUAACUUUCCAAAAUUUAUUCCAAAUCCAAAAUUGGUUGCAAAUAUCAAUCAUUUCCAUCCACUAGAGUCAUAACCCCUAAUUAUCAAUCAUCAUAAACAACCACAACACCAUAAUCCAAUUAAACCAGAAAAAUCAUCAAUAAAAUUAAAACUUCACCAAAUCACUUCAAACCAAGAUAAAACCAGAAAUUUCAGCACUUUAAUCACUACUAAUCAUAUCUUAAGCAUCAAUAGGUGUAGGUGGAAGUUUAAGCUUCACUUACCAAGUAAAAAAGAGAGGGGAAGAUGUUGGACACCUUAGCUCUUCCAAAAAACUUCACCAAAGCACUUACUAACACCAAAUAGAGAGGUUUUAUGGAGUGGAAUCAAGGUUGGAUGGUUGAGUAAGUUGAUUGAAGCAAGAUUGAACCCAAAAUCUUGAAGAGUUUUCUUCCUUUUGUUGCUCAAGAGAUUCGGUCACAAUGGAGAGGAAAAGAAUGAAUUUUUGGUGAUUUUUGAGAUAUUUAUUCACUUGGUAAGAAAAGUCAAAAAGGUGAAUAGUUGGAGACAAAGUCCAACCAAUGGGAUAGUGACACUUGUCACUUCAUUAAAUGCAAUUCAAUCCUUUGGUCACCUCUCACAUCAAUCACCUCACACUCCUUUACUUAUCCAUUAACACCCGAUAAAUUUUUCACAGUAUCCGGAACGUAACUUAAUUGGCCGAAUUUUUUCCGAACUUUUCGCACUAGUGGGUCCCACGUCCAAUAUACGUUCUUAUUUUCUCAAAAGCUAACCGAUACUUGAAAAUCAUCUAAAACCCAUAUUUACUCAUGAAAAUUAUCCUGGAGAUUUUCUAAUAAAGAAAAUGCGGAAAAAAAAACGGGCGAUAACUAAAACUCCACUUAAACUUUCUAAUAUUGCGACACUAGAGGUUGGCUAAUCAUUCAAACUUACUAAACCUUUGUAAUUAAAAAAAAUUCUAUAUUUACUUACGUCAAGGCACACACUAGAAUACCGAAUAUAAAUUAUAGUUUGAACCUUAUAAUAAUAAUACGUAAACUAGGAUUUCCAAACUUAACCGAAUUAGGGUUUCCUUUCUAGCCAUAAAACCCUGAUUUUUCUAUACUGAAUAUCAAAUAACCCUAAUAUCGACUUACGAUCGGACUGGGGCCUCACAAUCUCCCCCACUUAGGACAAUUUCGUCCUCGAAAUUAAUUCGUUGGUCAAAGCGUACCUUUGAAACCUGCCGAAGGAUUAGUCACUUCCGGUUGACCCAUUGUAUAGACUCUGGCUGGCCCUUUGGAUCGAUUUUCCCCUGCAUUUGACGGCUUACCUGUAGUCCCUUCAGUCGGUGGCUUAGGUUUCUCCUUUUGUGACUUAGGGCACUGGGCGAUCAGAUGUUCUGCACUACCACACUUAUAGCAUCUUCGGAUCGAACUGUUCUUCCAACAGUUUUCGUCAGUGUGAUUGGCCCCAUAGAAACCACAGAUUGGCUUAACGCCUGCACUUGGCCCUCCACGCUGGGCACUCCUCUGGGGCUCUUGCCCUACUCGACCUCUUCCAUAAUUACCCUGGUUUAGGGUUCCUGCGGGUCGGGGACCAUCUGUUCCAUGACUCUUCUUAGAAGGUAACUCACUUUGCGAGCUCUGUCCAGUCACAAAAUAGCUCGAAUCAGGUUGUCUUCGUUUCCUCUCAUGAAAGGAUUUUACCUGUCCCCUAGCUGUCUCAAUCCGCUGUGCCUUUUCUAGUGCCUGGCCAAACGUGUCCAACUGAGCAGCUGCCAGUGCCUCCUGGAUCUCCACAUUUAAACCUUGAACGAAGCGGCGGAUUCGUUUUCGCUCCGUUAGCACCAAUUCCGGUGCAAAACGGGAGAGCUUUGUGAACUGGGUCUCGUACUCCGCUACACUCAGUGUCCCUUGACGCAAACGGAUAAAAUCAUCUUCCCGUUUCUCUUGUACGAUGGGUGGUAAAUAUUUUUCAUUAAACUCUCGCGUAAAGUUAAUCCAUGUCCAGGGGGUCUGUUCCCGCUCCCACUUGGCUCUGAUCACAUUCCACCAGGCUCGAGCGGCCCCCUCAAACUGGAAAACAGCAAAAGAUAUCUGCCGCUCCUCCGAAUACCUAAGCGCGACAAAUAUAUCGAGCAUACGGUCCAUCCAGGUUUCUGCUAAAUCAGGAUUAGGUCCUCCUAUGAACUUAGGAGGUGCAAACUUUUGGAACCGUUCUAAGGCACGGUCCUCGCCCUCAUGAUUAUGUCCCGGAUUAUGUCCAGGGUUUCCAACAGCAUUCCCGUGGCCCUGAGCCUGUUGGUCAAUCAUACGCUCCAUCAAGUCAGCCAUUCGCUGGAUGGCUGUAGCUACUUGGUCUGGCUUGUGUUCAUGUUCCAUUUCAGGGCCUCGUCCUCGCCCUCUACCUCCACCUCGAGUACCGGAGGCCAUCUAGUGUACAAGUCUAUAAUUCGGAACAAUACGUAUGCUUAUUAUCCAGACCAUGAGCAAAAGAAGAGACACAAAACUUACGCACAAAAGACACACAAAAGAUAAGUUCAAAAUUUUAUUCAAAUAUAUACACAUAUUUACAAAGUCACACCAAAAGAUUUACACAUUACCCGACCUCCAGUCGGUACAAAACCCAAUAUACACGAGCACUCCGGCUCCAAAAUGUAGUCAAUCACGUGGUAACAAAAGAAACCAGGCAUACUGGUUAUAACAAAAUAAACAUGGCAGAUAUAACAAAAUAAACAUAUCAUAUAGUCAAAAGGAAAUCCCAUCAACGGCCCUACGCGCCUCCCCUACGGAACCUACCUAAUCCACUAGCACCGCCCCGGCGGCCCUAGGGUGUAAACCUAAAGAAUAGGUCCAAAUAGCUAACUUCAAUAUUAAGUAAGAACCAAAUCGAUUCACACUGGGACUGGCCAUCUCCAAGUGCAAUCAACUCAAUCCCCACUUUGCCUUAUGGAAACAUUACAAAAGUCAAUAUCAAAAUCUUAGCAUUCAAUAUUUACCUUAAUAGCCAAGUAUCCCACAUUCCGGCAUCCUAAACUUCAAGUCUAGGAUACACUACAGAGAUCUGAAACCUAAACUCUGAUACCAACUGUGACGACCCCACUUCUCCCAAGGGCGAACCCAAGGGUAUCGGCGGGCCGCCUGCCUAGCUCGCGCCAGGACUCAAAACUUAAAGCAAUCAAACGAGAUAGAUCGAAAGAGCACUAUAUACAAUAUAUACAAUCCCAAAAGUUAUAUUUACAUCUUCAAAAGUCUCGAGUCAAAUCACUUUAAUAUACUACAACCACAACCAGCAGAAGAUAGACCCUAAGAAGGGUCCUUAUACAAACCACCAAAACAAAAACAACCAUCCUAACUGUUCAAUUAUUACAAGCCAAUCUAACUAUACUAGCAUACGAGCCAAAAGUCCCCGCGUCGGCCCCUGCUAAGGAAAACAAAAGGAAAGGGGUAAGCUAUAUGCUUAGUAAGUAAACAGGGGCGAAAGCAUAAAUUCACGUAGCAACAAAUACCCAAUAAGAGUAAAGCAAAAGCAGAAAAGAACAACAUCAUAUAAUAAGGAUACGGGUGGCUCCAAAGCCAAUUCAUGUGCCAUGUAUGAUCUCCUGCCGACACUCCGUCGACCGCAAAUAAUAGUCCGUAGAACUUCACUUGUACACCCACCGACACCUUAUCACCCUCACUGGCCAGUCACCUCACAAACUUGCCCGGGCGAACGAAAUCACAAACUUGAGCUUGAGUCACAAGUUCGGGUCACAAACUUGGUCACCUUUUCGGUGAACCGGAUUCACAAAAUUGGUUCAUAACAUGAACCUACAAACUUGGUGACCUCAGACCAAGUUGGACUGACUUCGACCAAGCCCUAACCGGCUCGAAUAGUCCAAACAGGUCUUAGAUCGGGCCCACGAACUCACAAACUUCACAAAACUUUACUCGAAAGUCGCCCCGAGCCACAAGCUCAAGGGUUUUGGUUCCAAAAGGUUCAUAUACAUAUGCCAAGUACAAUUAUACAUUUAAAUUAGGGUUUAGGUCGAGUGCGAUAAAGUACACCCUCGCCUAAGUACCCUUUUCACAUAUCUCAAACACAUAGCAAAGAAACACAUCAAACCGGCCUGAAUACUUACUCAAAAUACCGAAAGUAGUACGAAAGCAAAAUCGCUUCGCGCGUUCGCUAGUAGUGGGCCCCACCGGCUCCGCCUAGCUCACCGCUGUCUGAAAUAGAAGAUUUUAUCACAAACGGCCACUAACAUGCCCAAAAUAAGCAAAACGGUAAAACGACACGCGCGCACGUGAAUAUGACGGACGGAAACGGAAACGGCAGAUUUGAUACUCAUUUCUAGUUUACCCAUAAGUUGAGCUACGAAUAUCGGAUUAAGGCGUAUGAGAUGCCAAAUCGAAGCUUAAAGGAUGAACAACAACUGUUAUGAAGACAUCCAGAACUGAAACUGGAGGCUUCAGUCCCAAAUGAACCAAACACAAUCACUUACGAAAUCUGGCCAAUGCACAAAUGGUCAGUUUUGAGUGUGAACUGUUUUCUAUGCUACACAUGGUCAAAAGAGCUGAAAAUUGGCAGUUAGAUAGUUCAUUCCAAAUGGAACAACUUUCAUGAAGGUCGGCAAUCCAAAUUCGGAACGGAAAUUGGUCAUCAGGACCAAAACAGAUCUGACCAGAAAAUGGUCAUCUUCACGGCCAGGCCUUAUUUGCUCGGCUAUAUCUCAGGUUUUAUAAAUCCGAUUCAUGAAAUUCCAAGGGCGAUAGAAAGCUCUGAUAUAAGGCUAUAAGUUUGGUGUUUUGGUCGCAAGCCCAAACAGCUUGUAACCCAGUCAAAUGUGAAGCCAAAGUUCCAGUCGUAAACUUUCCAAAAACGUAACAGAAUUUGCUGGUCAAAACAGGUCUGAGUAUUUCGUUUAUAGCUCAGGAUAUACUAAUCCGUUUAACCUGAAAAUUUACAGGGAUAUCCAGGACUUAAGGGGCUACAAUGUUGAAGAAGGAAACUUUGUCCAAUUUUGAAUGUAACAAGGUCAAAAAUGCAAGACACUAUACCAGAAUUGCAAAACAGGAUCACAAACCGUAUUUGACCUUAAUAUGCGGUAAUGGCACCAAAUUCACUACAGUUAUCGGAUGGGGGUGUAAGACCCACCGUUUCGAAGCUAGGAAACAGGGCUACAACACUGUAGAAGGUCACUCAGUCCAAAUCCUAACACAACUAGGUCAAAUAUGCAAAAUACUAAACCAGAAUUACCAAAACAGGUCUGCAAAACACACAAAACUGUAAUCGGUAUAACUCAGUCUAUACAAGUCCAAAUGCCGAAAUUCCAAAGGCAUAUGAUAUCUAAGACAUCCAGCUACAUUUCAUCAGAAGACACCAACAUCCAAAUCCAAAGUGAUUCCAGCCAAAAUAGCCAAAUACCAACGCAGUUUUCGCAUUCUGACCAAAGCAGAACAGCUACAGUAAUUCCAACAUAACUCACUCUACACUAAUCCAAAUGACCUGAAAUUUUGCAGGCACCUCAAACACAUCAAUACCUACAACUUUCAUGUUUUAAGCCAAGGCCAAAUCGGCCUCUAACAUGGUGCAAUAAAUUCGGGCAGAAUGUAGCUUCAUGAACCCUAACUUUCCAAAAUUUAUUCCAAAUCCAAAAUUGGUUGCAAAUAUCAAUCAUUUCCAUCCACUAGAGUCAUAACCCCUCAUUAUCAAUCAUCAUAAACAACCACAACACCAUAAUCCAAUUAAACCAGAAAAAUCAUCAAUAAAAUUAAAACUUCACCAAAUCACUUCAAACCAAGAUAAAACCAGAAAUUUCAGCACUUUAAUCACUACUAAUCAUAUCUUAAGCAUCAAUAGGUGUAGGUGGAAGUUUAAGCUUCACUUACCAAGUAAAAAAGAGAGGGGAAGAUGUUGGACACCUUAGCUCUUCCAAAAAACUUCACCAAAGCACUUACUAACACCAAAUAGAGAGGUUUUAUGGAGUGGAAUCAAGGUUGGAUGGUUGAGUAAGUUGAUUGAAGCAAGAUUGAACCCAAAAUCUUGAAGAGUUUUCUUCCUUUUGUUACUCAAGAGAUUCGGCCACAAUGGAGAGGAAAAGAAUGAAUUUUUGGUGAUUUUUGAGAUAUUUAUUCACUUGGUAAGAAAAGUCAAAAAGGUGAAUAGUUGGAGACAAAGUCCAACCAAUGAGAUAGUGACACUUGUCACUUCAUUAAAUGCAAUUCAAUCCUUUGGUCACCUCUCACAUCAAUCACCUCACACUCCUUUACUUAUCCAUUAACACCCGAUAAAUUUUUCACAGUAUCCGGAACUUAACUUAAUUGGCCGAAUUUUUCCGAACUUUUCGCACUAGUGGGUCCCACGUCCAAUAUACGUUCUUAUUUUCUCAAAAGCUAACCGAUACUUGAAAAUCAUCUAAAACCCAUAUUUACUCAUGAAAAUUAUCCUGGAGAUUUUCUAAUAAAGAAAAUGCGGAAAAAAACGGGCGAUAACUAAAACUCCACUUAAACUUUCUAAUAUUGCAACACUAGAGGUUUGCUAAUCAUUCAAACUUACUAAACCUUUGUAAUUAAAAAAAAUCCUAUAUUUACUUACGUCAAGGCACACACUAGAAUACCGAAUAUAAAUUAUAGCUUGAACCUUAUAAUAAUAAUACGUAAACUAGGAUUUCCAAACUUAACCGAAUUAGGGUUUCCUUUCUAGCCAUAAAACCCUGAUUUUUCUAUACCGAAUAUCAAAUAACCCUAAUAUCGACUUACGAUCGGAUUGGGGCCUCACAAUAAGGGUGUAAGGAAAAAAUAUAAGAGUUGGAUGCAUUCUCACCAGACCAAACAUAUUAAGAAUGAUGUAACUUCUCGUGAAAGCCAAGAACUGGUAAAAUGGAAAGGAGUGCAAUCGGGAUAGACAACAAAAUACAAAUAUAUAAGCUCUACUUAACUUGUAAUAUAAUACAGAUGAGCAUACCACUUAAGAAAAUGUAGAAGAAGUUGGAAAAUUAUAUAUUAAAAUUAUCUCUCAUCCAAUUACAUAUUUGCCAUUUACCAUUGGCAAAACAAAAAAAGGAAUAUGUUUUCAUUAGAUUUAAAGGAUAAUUUCAAAAAACCUCCCCUAAGGCUUCUGACUAUUUCAUUGACUGCCCUCCAAAUUUUAAAAAUUACACUAACCUCCCUAGAGAUUUAUUAUCUUAUAACAUUAGGUCCAACUAACAAUUAAAAGUAAUAUUAAGAGAAAGAAUAUAAUAUGAUUCACCAUUACCCCUUCAUCUAUUAAAUUGUAUAAUUAAUCUAAUACGUGCCCAAACAUUAAAAAAAUUAUAAUUUGCUAUUCAUCAUCGGAUAUUAAAUCAUAUUAAAUCACAUAUGACAUCAAAAAUAGUAUAUCAUUGUAUAUAUUUUACUUAAUGUAACAUCCUAAUUGCUCAUUUUAGUUACAAACCUGUUAUCAAACAUGAUCGACAACAAAUAAUAAAAAAAUAUGUAACCAAAAUAUUACCAAAAGCGAAUUUUAAUAUCAUAAAAAUCUCAACAAUUAGCCUUGAUAUGUUGACAAGAAUAUUUAUGAUGUUAAAGUUUGUUCUCUGUAAUAUUUGGUUGCAAAUUUUUUGAAUAUUUGUUGUUGAUCAUAUCUGACAAUUGAAAUGUAAUUGAAAAGAAUAAUUUGGACCUUCUAUUAAGUGAAAAAUAUAAAAUGGUAUACUAUUUUUUGAUGCUAUACGUGUGUAGACACCAAAUUUUAGCUUAUUCAUUUUUUGUUUUAGUAAUAACUAUUAUCUAUUUUUUGUUUUAAGGCACCUUUUAGCAUUUUAUAGCAUUUUAGAUUAUUAUUAUCUAUUAUUUUAUUUUUAGUUUUUAUUUCGUAUUAGUUUUGCCCUCUUGGCCAUUUAUCUUUAUUUUUAUUAAGAUUUUUUAGCAUAAAAUUUGUCAAAAAGAGAAAAUUAUUCUUUAAAAAUAUGUUUUGUUUCCUUUUACUAUUUAUUGAUUAAAAAAAAAGGGAAAAGUGAGCCGCACAUUGCAGCGCAUGAAUAUCAUUUUCAGGAAGAAAAUAGGGCUGAGGGAUCGGAUGGCUGAAAUAUUGGUUGGAAGCCCACCCUUCAUCCUCACCUUUGAGGUGAGGGUUUAGGGGUUGGAAGUUCCUAUAAAAAGGAAAGAAACAGCCAAGAGAGAGGGGAGGGGUUUUGGAAAUGACGGCUGAGAUAUUGGAGAAAGGACUGGAGUUGUGAGAGGACGGCAAAAAGAAAGAAACCAGAGGAUUUUUAUGACGGCUGAAGUGAGAGUAGGAAAGGGGAGAGAGCCCGUGACAACUGAAAAUCUAAAGCGGAAAAAGAAGGAAAAGAUAUAGAGUGAGCUUGGGAGGCAACGGUGGAGAAAAGCCAGAAAAACUUGUUGGCAGCUGAAGGGGGCGGCUGAAGAAAGAAUUCUGGAAAGAAAAAGAGAGGCGGUGGAUGAAAAAGAACGGGGUUUGACAGAUCUACAUACUUUCACUGGCGGUUUCUUUCAUCAAGGUUGCAUCAGAUCUCGUUGGGUUUUCCGGGAAAUUCGAUCAUCCUUCAAGGUAAUCCUUUCUUUCAUCCUUUCCCGCCUGUGCAUCAUUGGCCUCUGUAACCAAGAGUUUCGUUGCUUGUUUUUUGCUUUCACGUCAUUUUCUUGUUCAUGCGUUGUUCAUUCAAAUUUGGGCUCCAUACUUCGAGUCCUGUGUUAUGAUGAGUCUUGAAUUCUUUUUGUGUAGAAGAUUCUCCAUGUUUUUAGUUGGUAGCAAACCCAGUAGAUGACAGGAUUUUUCUCUUCAAAUCUGCAUGACUUUUAUUCUGUUUUUCUUGCGUUCUUUGUCUGGAAUUAAGAGAUGACAAAGAAGCUCACUGAUUUGGGUUUCCUUGUUAAGGACUUAUGAAUAAAAGGUGUUUGCUUGCUUCCAUUCGUGAACCUGGAGAGAUGUUCGCUGAGUGUGUUCAGUUUUUUUUUGCCCGUUUUUUGACCACAAAGCUAUGGUUUGGGCCUUAGGUUCUUAUCUGGCGAGUUUAUUUGGAAGUUUCGGUAGGAGGUUUAAAGUAUUUUUGUUUGUGUUUUGAUAAGCUGCAUUUUUGCAGCAGUAGGUUGUCGAAUUAGUUCCUUAGCACUUGCGUAGGAAACUCGAUGGAAGUUUAGACCUUUUUGGCAUAUAUGGCUGCUGUUCAUUUUAGUUUCUGUUUGUUUUAAUGCUUUGAAAACAGUUUUCGAUAUCUUAAGAUCACUCACAAGGUUUGAAAAUUGUCUGAUGAGCCUGUUUGUCGGACUUCAGAAUGCUUAGAGUUGCGCAUAAAAUUUGCUGCAACAAGCUGAAAGCCUUUGGCUUGUUGCAGCGGCAUGGAUCAAAUUCUGUUUUCCUCUUUCGCUGGUUUAAGUUUUGAAGCUUACGAUUUCCUUGGUCUUUGGCUAAGUGUGUCCUGGACAUGUUUGCUGCGAGUUUAUAUUUUUCUCUGUUGUAGUUUUACAUUCUGUUGCAUCAUGAAGUGUCGGAUACCUGUAAUGUCUUCUUGUUGCAUGUUUUUCUUUAGUGUUUCAGGUUGUAUUUCUCCACUUUCUUUUGAUAUUAGUCAAUUCAAAUGCUUUGCCACAAUUUUGCAAUAUGGAUUCGUGUCUCAUGUAGUCGAUAGCUGAUAGGUGAGGUCUUAGUAUUAGAUGAAUCUGGUCUGCAUGAUGAAAUGGAAAGAAAAGCCGCGGCUGAAAACUUGCAGCAAACUUGGAAGCAAAAGAAAGCAUGUUUCAUUUUUAGUUGCAGAAGUUUAAGUCUCACGUAACUUGCAUGGAUUUGCAUGAAAUAAUUCUUUGAAAAUUACACUUUGGCCCCAAGUCUCCCUUUGUUUUACUAUGGCCCAAGUAAUUGAAAAAUCCAUCAAAUCGACCCUUCAAUUUUCUUUUUUCCUUUCAAUUAGGCCCCAACUUUGCGAACAUGGAUGUUUAAGUUGUUUAAAUGCUUUAAUACUUAUGUGAUUAUUUGUGAUUACUUGACCUUUUCUUGCUCCUGGACCUUUAGAGUUCCUAAAAUGUUUCAAUUGGCCUUGAUUGAUUGAUUAAUGGUUGCUAUUGGGUCUUUAGUCAUUUUGAUAUUUUAGAAAUUUGAUCAAUGAUUCACUUUUGCUUGGAAAUUAUGCAUUAUUUGAUCAUUUUUAAGUUACAAUUGAAGAAGGAUUCGAUAAUUUUGUGGAUUCAAAUUGGCUUAUUUACAUUUUUUCACUAAAUUGGUGCAUUAAUUCUUUGUUUUGAUGAUUUUUAGCCCAAGUUAUCCCUUUCUUUGGUGACUUUAACCCAAGUUAAGUCGUGUUUACUUUACUAACAUCAUAAACGGGGAGGUAUAAUUUCUUUUAUCCCUUUUUGUCUCUCUCCUAUGUGAUUCAACGUGCUAAGUGAGAAUUGCAUGUCUACUUUGCUUUCCUUGCCUUUCUUUAAUUUCUUUCAUUUAUUUCAUUUACUUUUACUUUUAUUAAGUUAUUCUUUUAUGGGGUAUGUGUACACCUCUUGGCUUGUAAUAGAUAGGGCUUGGAGAGCAAUUUUAUCCAUUUUUCCCCUUCCCCUUAUUUUUUAGUUAGCAAAUGUAAUAGGUUCAUUACUUGCUUUUGUUGCUAUGUGUUAAUUUGCUUUAUUAGGCUCUUGCAUUUAGUCGAGCAUGCUAAGUGUUAUGUGCUACGUGUUUAUAGAUGAUUUGUAUGUCUACUUGCUUUCUAUAGUCGUAGAUGAAUAUGAUGGAUGAAUGUACGUCACCACACUAGUCCAACGCUAGUUAUGGCUCAUUGUCCCAUUUUCCACUAGUCCAACGCUAGUAGGAAUUCAUAGAAAGGGCUAGUCCAAUGCUAGACCCAAUAGGCCGUCCCCUCUCGUUAGUACAUACUUGCAUGUUUCACUACAUUUCAUACAUUUUUCUUAGUUUUUUUUUUAGCAUUUGGCAUGCCCCUCCAACCUUUUCCCUUUCAUUUUAGGUUUUUGCAUCCUCAUGCUAGUUAUAGGGUACAUUUGCUUGAGAGUCCCCUUUUGGUAAGGGAAACGAGCGAGUGUGGCUACAAAAUAGCUUUAGCACGCUAGUUCUUCCUUCUAAUCAAAGGGAAAAUUAAAAUCGUGAAGUUAGAAGUCAUUCCCGUACCCGACUUGAUGUAUUCCUCUAGGUUCAUAUACUCUCAUUUUUAUCAUAUCACUUCCUCACUUUUUUAUCCACAUUUUCUCACUACUUAUAUUUUUUCUCAAUCCACAUGCCAUGUUCGCACAUUUUUCUUCUUUUCCUAUCACUUACUUAUUUUUCUAUCUCACAAAUUGCACCCAAUUGCACUUAUAUAUUUACUACCAUUAUACCUUAUUUUCAUCCACUUGCACACAAAUACCUUUAUUUUCUCCAUUGGCACACAUGCACUUUCCUUACACACAUGCACUUUUCUUACAUUUGCACACUUGCACUUACAUUUGUUUUUAUUUUACUUGCUUUUGCACACUUACACUCAUACUUGAGUCUUCAUUUGCAUUAUUCAUGACCUCUAUGAGGGCUUUCCUUACUGGCCAUCACAAUUCAUGUGGUUGGGACCAAAAAAUCUCAUAAGAGACAUUUUAGAUUUAGGAUUGCAUCUUUUUCAUAUCCAUUAGUUACAUCCAACAUGCAACGCAUAUUUUGGGUAGAAGAAUUAGGAAAAGUGGGGCUAAGUCACGCAACUAGCUUUGGCUAGGGUAAGAGAGUGCCUUAGGCUUUGCCUUUGCCUUCUCCCGUAUCAAAUGUGACCCCCGAUCAUUUUCUUUGGUUACGUAGAUCUAAAAUUCUUUAAAAAGGGUUUGUUUACUUUUCUUUCCAAAAAUAAAAAUCAUUUUUUGGGUGACUUGGUACACCCUAACUCUAUACCAAGUGGCGACUCCAUUUUCCAUUCAAAAAACCCUUUUUGAACUUUAUUUGGCCAAACCGUCGCAUUUCACAAUCCCACGGCCUUUUAUUUUUACUCUCACACAUAUAUCCCACACACUACUUCACACCUUCAAAACGUGGGGCGCAACAGUUUGGCGACUCCACUGGGGAUUUCCUAAAUGGGUCUGAGCAUUUGAUCUAGCCAUUCUUUUCCGUUUUCUACCCUUUUUAUGCAUAGCAUUUGGAUAUUAGGGUUGCAUUUUUCAUUUUUAGAACCUUUUGCCUCGCGCGCAUAUCAAACUACCUCCUCACUCACGUAUGUAUGAUUUGGUUGUUUGGAUGUAUGUUUUAGUUGUCUUAUCUCGCGCUUUGCAUUGCAUUUGGGUGGGGGACAUCACCUUAGAGUCUCGCGUUGGUUUUCGAUCCCUCCCCUCCAAACGAGCACUAGCAUACGUGCAUAUGCUUUAUUUUUAUCCCUCAUUUAUUUUUCUUUUAGUGGCUUGUCACGCCACUCCACCCUAUUAGGAUUAGGUGACCUACUUGGACAUGUGAUCGUGACACGACGUGUGCGUAGCAUGAUUCGAGGGGUCACUCAAUCUUCCGCUUUAAAUUUUGGGUUGAUAGCCUUUAGUUUUUAGUCGAAGGUUGAGGAUUAUUUUUAGAUUCACCCAGAUAUGUAGCCGUGACACGACGUGUGCGUAGCAAUGUCUGGGGAAUCGCUCGAGCCACCGACAAGGAACCUUGGGAGUGAUGACCUUUGGUUUCCAAGUCUGAAGGCUCGGGGACCUAAGUUUAUCGAGUCUAGAUGCAUUAGUGAACCCCAACCUCAUGCAUCCAUAUUAGAAUUGCUUAGGAUAGAGUCGACCUUAUCCUAAAUUAGGAACACUAUUCACGAGGGGAGGGGUCCUACCCCUUUUUCCUUAUUUAUCUUUGUUGCUUUUUAUAUUAUCUAAAUUGUCCAACGUGUUAUGUGAUUAUGUGUUGAACUAACUUUCCUUGUCUCUUGUCUUUUGCAUUCACAAAUGUUAGGAAAUAAGAAGUCUGGCAUGAUCCUCUUUUAGGACCUACCCUUAUCAAUAGGUUAUUGCACGUUUAAAAAUUCUGGUAUAUUUAUAAAUUAAUGGCAUAUCAUUUUAGGCCUACCCUGACAUACAAAGGGUCCCUUUAGGUCAUAAUAUAAUUGCAUGUUUUAUCACUUUAAUAAACUGGCAUCAUGCAUAAACUCUAGAAGGGAAUGCCAUUUAGGGAUCCUGUGUUAGGAAUAAACCACUUCGUGUCUCGGAUACUUAAUCCAAAGAGACUUGCACGUUUACAUUUUGUACCAUCCAAAGGGGUAGUGCACAAGGUAAGGUAGGAUCCGAUCUUUUCGAAAAUGGUAAAGUAAUUUUUGCACAUUGGAAUACGAGCGUCUAAUAAUCACUUUUGGCCAUUUUGUCAACAUUGGUAAAAAUCCCUUGCGUAAAGGACAUUAAUUCGAAGAACUUCACAAAUAAUUCCUCACUAUUGAGAUGAUAAAUGAAUUGAGGCCAAAAUUUGAUAUUAGAAGGCUCAUAGAUUAAUGCAUCGCAAUAAAUUUUUGAAAAUUACCAAUGGGUGGACAAUUCAACCCAUUUUUGAAUUUCCAUCAAUUCAUUUGACCAAUCUGGUCAUUUUUGAAUAAAUAAUCAAAUUUCAUUUAAUACAUUUGACCAUUUUACCCUUUUUAAGGUAAUCUGGUCGAUUUUUGAAUAAAUCAUCAAUUUCAGCCUUUUCAUUUGACUUGUUUAUUUCUUUUUAGGGUUUAAAUCUAAGGUUCAUUGAAUAAAUUAGUCGAGACAUUGCAAUCCUUUCAAAAGCAGGCUCUUUUGCACAUCAUGCGUCAAUCAAAGUAAGUAAUCCAUUUGGAACGUAGUCCUCAUUUUUAGGGCAAAUGUCUCUUCACUCCGAUUGACCAAAUUUUUCAAAUCAUUUUUUUUCACUCAAUCAGUUGAUCGGAUUCAUCAAGGUAUGGUAUAGUGCCUACCUCAGAGGAUUGCAUUCUCAUGUUAGGCCUACCCUUGGCACUAAAAGGGUCCCCCAAUAGGACAUGCAUCCAAAUUACUUUAAUUAUUACUAACUCCUGUCUUUUUCUUUUCCUUUUUCUUUUUUGACAACAGUCAAUCAAGAAGGGCAUCUAAUAGGGGUUUUCCUACGUUCUCAGGUAGUAAUUACAAAUAUUGCUACAUGAAGAAGCCCCAUUAUUACCCGAUCACAUAGCCGAGCUUCAAGAGAUAGUGUAAACAUGAGUACCCAUCCCGAAUCAUCUGAUAGGCCUGCAACAACAUCAGCGACUAACUUAGCAAAUCUGGGAGCUCAACUGAGCGAAGUUCUAAACCGAUUUAAUGAACUAAGCAUUGAAAUGAUGGCCCAACGGCGCGUGAUCGACCAAUUGGUCACUGGGGGUGCUAGCGGUGAGCAACAACACGAACCCUUACCCCCCGGCCAAUCUGAACCAAUACUCUUACCUUAUACUCAAGCCUCUGUUACUUCACAAGUCAUAAACCCAUCGGAGGAAGCUUUUACUUAUCCCACUCAUGGCCCACAACCUACUUAUGUACCUCACAUCCAAAUUAACCCUUCUCAUGCCCAAAUCCCCCAGAAUUAUCCGCCAAUCACUAUGAGCAUGCCAUUUGAACCUCAAGGACCACAUUAUUACUCCACCGCUGAGCCAUUCACCUUAGAUACCGCCGCCCAAGGGAAGGCUGAAGCUGGGGAAUCAUCCGCACCGGUUGAUAAGAAUUUGCUAAAAAGAUUGGAUAAGUUUGAGGAGUUCAUAAGGAAAAAUCAAGGUCUGAGCAAACAAGGAAGUCUAGACUACAACGAUCUGUGCCUAUUUCCGGAUAUGCAAUUGCCAAUGGGUUUCAAAGCGCCCAAAUUUAGCAAGUACGAUGGAACUGGCAAUCCCAAAACACACCUUCGGAUGUUCGCAAACAAACUUGGAAAGCCGAUAGAUGAUGAGAAUUUACCUGUACGUUUAUUUCCCGAGAGCCUAGAAGGCGACGCGUUGGAUUGGUAUUCCAAUUUGAAGCCUGAGGAUAUGAGAUCUUGGAUGGAUUUGUCAACUGCUUUUAUGAGGCAGUACAAAUACAAUUGCGAGCUUGCUCCAACGAGGGCCACACUUGAGGGGACUAAAAGAAAACCAUCUGAGGACCACAAGACGUACGCGAAGAGAUGGAGGAAAUUGGCCGCCAAGGUCGAGCCUCCUAUGACUGAAAACGAGAUUGUUCGCACGUUCAUCAAAGCUCAUGACCCGCCUUACUUUGAGAAGAUUUUUCGAAUGACCGGGUGUUCCUUUGCCGAAAUUGUCAAUAAAUUGGAAGAAUUUGAUGAGUUUGUGAAGGCCGGAAAAAUUGUUAGUGUGUCAACAUUGAAGAUGCAACUAGAGACUCUGCAAGGCCAGAAUGACAGUGGGAAAAAAUCCCAAUCUAAGGGAAAAGAAGAGGAAACUGCUUUUGUUGGGGAUCAGGGCCCCUCGGCCAGACCUAGAUUUUCAAACCGCCUUGCUUAUUCAUCACCCUAUCCAUACUACCCAAACUCCCGUCCUAUCCACCAUACUACCAUUAACCAUUCUCGACCUCGACCAAAUUAUCCAAAUGUACUCACACCACCCUUUCAAAAUCCUCAACCAAAUCUCCAAACUAGACCUCGCCCUUCUUUUAACCCAAGACCUAUUCCACCCCCUAGCCCAAAUUACUACUACCAACAAAUCAGUGACACCCAAAAUUCAACGUCACACCGAACCUUCACCAAUCUAAGUCGGCCUGUUGACCAAUUAUAUGAGCAAUUGAAAGCUGUCGGGAAAAUUGGUGUUAUACCUCCUAAGAUCUAUUCUAAGCGCUUUCCUUCUGACUAUGACCCUCAAGCAGUCUGCGCUUAUCAUUCUGGAGCUCCCGAGCAUUCCACCAAUGAUUGUCGGGCAUUGAAACAUGAAAUCCAGGAUAUGAUCGAAUUCGGAGAAAUAGUGCUAAGGAAAAAGGGUGAACAGGGACAGAGCAUAAGUACAAAUCCCUUUCCCGAACACAAGGACGCCUUUGAGGCAUCCACCCCCAAUGAAGAAAUUUGAGAAUCCUGGAAGGGGCUGAAUUAGUGAGAUUCCUCUCCCUUGAAGGGAGUUUCGAUAAAUUUGGGGAGUUGUUUUGGUUAAAACCAAUGAAAAUCGUUCAUACACGUGUCUUUUGUUUAACUAUGUUUUUUGUAAAUAGUUUUCAAUCAAGUGACUGCUAAAGACACGUUUCAUGAAUAUUAAGUUUGGUUUUUGUCUGAAAAUUCAAUAAAAUGUACAGUUUUAUAAAUUGUGACUUACACAUUCUUUUCAGAUGGCCAAGAAUAAAAUCGUCUGACCCUUUGGAUAUCACUGUUCAGAAAUUUGAUGGCAGCGAUCUCACGAAUGUGAAUUUGAAUUUCAAAAUGAAAGGAGUAGGGGAAGAGACAUUCAAAAAUGUUUCAAAGAAGCCUGAAUGGAGUAAAAGAAGUUCAAGCAGAAUCAGGAUCGAGAUUAGGAAUAAGAAGCAGUUAAACACUGUCCAUCAUGGUCAAUAUGAUCGAAAGGAUUGGUCUAUGAUUACGCUUAAAGGGUCAAAUCAGGAUCAUUCAGACGAGAAGGCAAAGCAUUAAGGUGGUUUUCGUCAGUACAAAAUGAAGCCAAAAGGAGAGUUUGCCGCGAAUUGGUAAGGUGCUCUUAUCAUCAAAAAGGUAUCGCCUGAUGGAGCACUUGUUCCCUCAAUCAAUCAAUUCGGAGAUGUGUAAGAAAUUUUCAUCUGAUAAAUGAAAGUUUUCUUUUAGAGUUAAUGCGAAGAAUGGAAUGAAAGUCAGGCUCUCUUCUUUUUCCAUUAAGACAUUAUAUUCCUAGUUAUCCCUUUUGAGCCUUCAGAAUAGAUCAUUUCGUUUGGCAACCUCUGAGAAUCGCAAAUCCCACACUGGGGCAAAUUUAGUUUUGAAAGAAGAGAAAAAGAGAGAAAACCCCACACUGGGGUAAAUUCAAUUUUUUAAGGAAAGUCGAAAGUAAAGGAAAUGAACAAAAGAAAGCUUCAAUUAAAAAUAAACUGGAGCAAAUUUUUAAAAAGUUGAAAGAUGAAUGAAAAAGGAAGAAAAUGAAAGAAAAGAGAACCUCAUUUGAGAAUAAAUUGGGGCAAAUUUUGAUUUAACCCUAAAAUAGGGUUAACAUGGAAAUGCGAUCUCAGAUCAUUUAAACCACUUUUUGAAGUCUGCCUUCAAGCCUUAACCUUUCCUAGCACCUCACCCGACCCCAUUACAAAAGCCAAAAAGUCCUGGCUUCCAUUCUUGGCAUCACCUCUUUUAAAGAAAUUUUCUAAGUCACAUGGUAAAUGAUGUCAAUACGCCUUCACUCAUGUUGUAAAGGAAGGGGUUGUCGCAUUGAUGCCAUUAUUUCUUAAAACACAUUUUUGAGUUGAUAAAGGCUAUUGGCAAGAUUUGUUCAUCAGGUGAAAAUUCGAAAAGGGCACCUUUGAAAAGAAAAGGAAAAAGAAAAGAAGAAAAGAAAAAAAAAACAACAACAACAACAACAAAACAAAACAAAAUGAAGAAAAAAAGAGCCAAAAGGGGGAGUAGCCUUAGUGAAAACUUGAAAGGGCGCUAAGGUAGAGUUUCAUGAGGAAAAGUGAGGGUGGAAUUAGAAACCUGGUGAUUCGAUUCAUUUGGGAUUCCUCCUCACAUUGUGGUUCUUCUGUUGCCGACAUUGAACUCAGGGCGGAUGAUAUCUAAAGGGUCAAGCGUGGCAUUUUGUUUAAAGUCGGAAUACUUUGGCUUUUCAAGCAUAAAUUGUCGAAUUUAUAGAUUCAUUUCUUUAAAAUUAAUUUUCUUUCAAUAAAAAAUAAAUGAUUGUUUUCAUGUUACAGAAAUUUUCAUCAUCUGUUGUGUAAAUAGAAUAUUCUUUCAUCAGUUUCAUAGUCUUAUUUAUCUCUUUAGGUUCAUCAGAUGGCAAUCCCCCUGAUUUAUUGAAAAUCCCUGGAUACCAAGGGCCUUAUUAGCAUUGGAAGUCAAUGGAAUUUGAUCAGAUCACAGAGCAUAGUUGAGUUUUCGAAGUAUCAAGGGGAAAACAUCAAAGUACUCAUGUUUACACAUUUCUUCAAGGAGGAAUUGAUCGAAUGAUGGUGGCAUUACUUGUUCUUUCUUUUACAGGUUCAUACGCGUUUCAAAGGACGAAACUGGGGCAACUUUUUGAACUGAGGAACGUCGCCCAAGAAUUCUUAUAUGACUGAGGGAUUCGGACCAAAGAAGAAGUGAAUCAAAGUUUGAGCAACCCUGCCAUAAUGCAAAUCAAAUGAUCGGUUGCACAAUAAGUGGUGGAGACUGAGGCUAAAAAAAAAAAAAUCUUGAAAAGUUUCUCCCGAACGAAAAGGAAAAAACGGGAAACAUAAAAAAUCAUUUUCAAUAUCAGAUUUUAAAUUCUUGUUGGCGAAUUUCAACUUCCGCUGCGCACCCUUCUAUCUCCCCCUCUUGACAAUCACGCUUAAUUUCUUGACAAAUUGAAUGGCGAGAUUGGAUCUUAUCCUACUGAUCCCAAAUAUCACGUUGGGCCUGGAUUUCGUGCCGCCAACAUUUCCAAAGAUCACGUUGGGCCUGGAUUUCGUGCCGCCAACAUUCCAACAUCACGUUGGGCCUGGAUUUCGUGCCGCCAACAUUCCAAAGAUCACGUUGGGCCUGAAUUUCGUGCCGCCGCCGACAUUCCAAAUAUCACGUUGGGCCUGGAUUUCGUGCCGCCAGCAUUCCAAAUAUCACGUUGGGCCUGGAUUUCGUGCCGCCGACAUUCCAACAUCACGUUGGGCCUGGAUUUCAUGCCGCCGACAUUCCAAAUAUCACGUUGGGCCUGGACUUUGUGCCGCCAACAUUCCAAAUAUCACGUUGGGCCUGAAUUUUGUGCCGCCAACUUCACAAAUGUCACAUUGGGUCUGGAUUUUAUGCCGCCAACAUCACCAACAUCAUGUUGGGUUUGGAUUUUGUACCCCCAAUUAAGGCAGGAUCGGGUUUAAUCCCACUGACCAAUUCAUCACACUGGGACAAGUCUUUGGAUAAUUUUUGAGCAAGUCUUAUACAGUUUCUUCAUACAUAUCAGCAUUUCUUUUAUUUUGCCACUAAACAUGGAUUAGUCCCACUAGUGAGCACUUAAAUUUUGUUCGGGUCAGUCCCAUGAUUUAAAUUUUGUUCGGGCCAGUCCCAUGAUUUAAAUUUUGUUCGGAUCAGUCCCGUUUUAAAUUCCUGUUCGGGUCAGUCCCGUUUUAAUUUCCUGUUCGGGCCAGUCCCGUUUUAAAAUUCCUGUUCGGGUCAGUCCCGUUUUAAAUUUCUUGUUCGGGUUAGUCCCGUUGUAAAUUCCAGUUCGUUGGAAUCAUUUUGCGGCCAAAUAACACAGGUAAGUAUUUGGUGUCUACUUCUGUGUCUCAAGUUUUUUCAAAACUCAAACAAAGAGGGGCAAACUGUAGACACCAAAUUUUAGCUUAUUCAUUUUUUGUUUUAGUAAUAACUAUUAUCUAUUUUUUGUUUUAAGGCACCUUUUAGCAUUUUAUAGCAUUUUAGAUUAUUAUUAUCUAUUAUUUUAUUUUUAAUUUUUAUUUCGUAUUAGUUUUGCCCUCUUGACCAUUUAUCUUUAUUUUUAUUAAGAUUUUUUAGCAUAAAAUUUGUCAAAAAGAGAAAAUUAUUCUUUAAAAAUAUGUUUUGUUUCCUUUUACUAUUUAUUGAUUAAAAACAAAGGGAAAAGUGAGCCGCACAUUGCAGCGCAUGAAUAUCAUUUUCAGGAAGAAAAUAGGGCUAAGGGAUCGGAUGGCUGAAAUAUUGGUUGGAAGCCCACCCUUCAUCCUCACCUUUGAGGUGAGGGUUUAGGGGUUGGAAGUUCCUAUAAAAAGGAAAGAAACAGCCGAGAGAGAGGGGAGGGGUUUUGGAAAUGACGGCUGAGAUAUUGGAGAGAGGACUGGGGUCGUGAGAGGACGGCAAAAAGAAAGAAACCAGAAGAUUUUUGUGACGGCUGAAGUGAGAGUAGGAAAGGGGAGAGAGCCCGUGACAACUGAAAAUCUAAAGCGGAAAAAGAAGGAAAAGAUAUAGAGUGAGCUUGGGAGGCAACGGCGGAGAAAAGCCAGAAAAACUGGUUGGCAGCUGAAGGGGGCGGCUGAAGAAAGAAUUCCGGAAAGAAAAAGAGAGGCGGUGGAUGAAAAAGAACGGGGUUUGACAGAUCUACAUACUUUCACUGGCGGUUUCUUUCAUCAAGGUUGCAUCAGAUCUCGUUGGGUUUUUCGGGAAAUUCGAUCAUCCUUCAAGGUAAUCCUUUCUUUCAUCCUUUCCCACCUGUGCAUCAUUGGCCUCUGUAACCAAGAGUUUCGUUCCUUGUUUUUUGCUUUCACGUCAUUUUCUUGUUCAUGCGUUGUUCAUUCAAAUUUGGGCUCCAUACUUCGGGUCCUGUGUUAUGAUGAGUCUUGAAUUCUUUUUGUGUAGAAGAUUCUCCAUGUUUUUAGUUGGUAGCAAACCCAGUAGAUGACAGGAUUUUUCUCUUCAAAUCUGCAUGACUUUUAUUCUCUUUUUCUUGCGUUCUUUGUCUGGAAUUAAGAGAUGACAAAGAAGCUCACUGAUUUGGGUUUCCUUGUUAAGGACUUAUGAAUAAAAGGUGUUUGCUUGCUUCCAUUCGUGAACCUGGAGAGAUGUUCGCUGAGUGUGUUCAGUUUUUUUUUUUGCCUGUUUUUUGACCACAAAGCUAUGGUUUGGGCCUUAGGUUCUUAUCUGGUGAGUUUAUUUGGAAGUUUCGGUAGGAGGUUUAAAGUAUUUUUGUUUGUGUUUUGAUAAGCUGCAUUUUUGCAGCAGUAGGUUGUCGAAUUAGUUCCUUGGCACUUGCGUAGGAAACUCGAUGGAAGUUUAGACCUUUUUGGCAUAUAUGGCUGCUGUUCAUUUUAGUUUCCGUUUGUUUUAAUGCUUUGAAAACAGUUUUCGAUGUCUUAAUAUCACUCACAAGGUUUGGAAAUUGUCUGAUGAGCCUGUUUGUCGGACUUCAGAAUGCUUAGAGUUGCGCAUAAAAUUUGCUUCAACAAACUGAAAGCCUUUGGCUUGUUGCAGCGGCAUGGAUCAAAUUCUGUUUUCCUCUUUCGCUGGUUUAAGUUUUGAAGCUUACGAUUUCCUUGGUCUUUGGCUAAGUGUGUCCUGGACAUGUUUGCUGCGAGUUUAUAUUUUUCUCUGUUGUAGUUUUACAUUCUGUUGCAUCAUGAAGUGUCGGAUACCUGUAAUGUCUUCUUGUUGCAUGUUUUUCUUUAGUGUUUCAGGUUGUAUUUCUCCACUUUCUUUUGAUAUUAGUCAAUUCAAAUGCUUUGCCACAAUUUUGCAAUAUGGAUUCGUGUCUCAUGUAGUCGAUAGCUGAUAGGUGAGGUCUUAGUAUUAGAUGAAUCUGGUCUGCAUGAUGAAAUGGAAAGAAAAGCCGCGGCUGAAAACUUGCAGCAAACUUGGAAGCAAAAGAAAGCAUGUUUCAUUUUUAGUUGCAGAAGUUUAAGUCUCACGUAGCUUGCAUGGAUUUGCAUGAAAUAAUUCUCUAAAAAUUGCACUUUGGCCCCAAGUCUCCCUUUGUUUUACUAUGGCCCAAGUAAUUGAAAAAUUCAUCAAAUCGACCCUUCAAUUUUCUUUUUUCCUUUCAAUUAGGCCCCAGCUUUGCGAACAUGGAUGUUUAAGUUGUUUAAAUGCUUUAAUACUUAUGUGAUUAUUUGUGAUUACUUGACCUUUUCUUGCUCCUGGACCUUUAGAGUUCCUAAAAUGUUUCAAUUGGCCUUGAUUGAUUGAUUAAUGGUUGCUAUUGGGUCUUUAGUCAUUUUGAUAUUUUAGAAAUUUGAUCAAUGAUUCACUUUUGCUUGAAAAUUAUGCAUUAUUUGAUCAUUUUUAAGUUACAAUUGAAGAAGGAUUCGAUGAUUUUGUAGAUUCAAAUUGGCUUAUUUACAUUUUUCCACUAAAUUGGUGCAUUAAUUCUUUGUUUUGAUGAUUUUUAGCCCAAGUUAUCCCUUUCUUUGGUGACUUUAGCCCAAGUUAAGUCGUGUUUACUUUACUAACAUCAUAAACGGGGAGGUAUAAUUUCUUUUAUCCCUUUUUGUCUCUCUCCUAUGUGAUUCAACGUGUUAAGUGAGAAUUGCAUGUCUACUUUGCUUUCCUUGCCUUUCUUUAAUUCCUUUAAUUCCUUUCAUUUACUUUUGCUUUUAUUAAGUUAUUCUUUUAUGGGGUAUGUGUACACCUCUUGGCUUGUAAUAGAUAGGGCUUGGAGAGCAAUUUUGUCCAUUUUUCCCCUUCCCUUUUUAUUUUAGUUAGCAAAUGUAAUAGGUUCAUUGCUUGCUUUUAUUGUUAUGUGUUAAUUUGCUUUAUUAGACUCUUGCAUUUAGUCGAGCAUGCUAAGUGUUAUGUGCUACGUGUUUAUAGAUGAUUUGUAUGUCUACUUGCUUUCUAUAGUCGUAGAUGAAUAUGAUGGAUGAAUGUACGUCACCACACUAGUCCAACGCUAGUUGUGGCUCAUUGUCCCGUUUUUCACUAGUCCAACGCUAGUAGAAAUUCAUAGAAAGGGCUAGUCCAAUGCUAGACCCAAUAGGCCGUCCCCUCUCGUUAGUACGUACUUGCAUGUUUCACUACAUUUCAUACAUUUCUCUUAGUUUUUUUUUUAGCAUUUGGCAUGCCCCUCCAACCCUUUCCCUUUCAUUUUAGGUUUUUGCAUUCUCAUGCUAGUUAUAGGGUACAUUUCCUUGAGAGUCCCUUUUUGGUAAGGGAAACGAGUGAGUGUGGCUACAAAAUAGCCUUAGCACGCUAAUUCUUCCUUCUAAUCAAAGGGAAAAUUAAAAUCGUGAAAUUAGGAGUCAUUCCCGUACCCGACUUGAUGCAUUCCUCUAGGUUUAUACACUCUCAUUUUUAUCAUAUCACUUCCUCACUUUCUUAUCCACAUUUUCUCACUACUUAUAUUUUUUCUCAAUCCACAUGCCAUGUUCGCACAUUUUUCUUCUUUUCCUAUCACUUACUUAUUUUUCUACCUCACAAAUUGUACCCAAUUGGACUUAUAUAUUUACUACCAUUAUACCUUAUUUUCAUCCACUUGCACACAAAUAUCUUUAUUUUCUCCAUUGGCACACAUGCACUUUCCUUACACACAUGCACUUUUCUUACAUUUGCACACUUGCACUUACAUUUGUUUUUAUUUUACUUGCAUUUGCACACUUACACUCAUACUUGAGUCUUCAUUUGCAUUAUUCAUGACUUCUAUGAGAGUUUUCCUUACUGGCCAUCACAAUUCAUGUGGUUGGAACCAAAAAGCCUCAUAAGAGACAUUUUAGAUUUAGGAUUGCAUCUUUUUCAUAUCCAUUAGUUACAUCCAACAUGCAACGCAUAUUUUGGGUAGAAGAAUUAGGAAAAGUGGGGCUAAGUCAUGCAACUAGCUUUGGCUAGGGUAAGGGAGUGCCUUAGGCUUUGCCUUUGCCUUCUCCCUUAUCAAAUGUGACCACCCGAUCCUUUUCUUUGGUUACGUAGAUCUAAAAUUCUUUAAAAAGUGUUUGUUUACUUUUCUUUCCAAAAACAAAAAUCAUUUUUUGGGUGACUUUGUACACCCUAACUCUAUACCAAGUGGUGACUCCAUUUUCCAUUCAAAAAAACCCUUUUUGAACUUUAUUUGGCCAAACCGUCGCAUUUCACAAUCCCACGGCCUUUUAUUUUUACUCUCACACAUAUAUCCCACACACUGCUUCACACCUUCAAAAAGUGGGGCGCGACAACGUGAUUUGAUCCCUAAUGAUAAAUAUCAAAUUUUAGUGCUUUUUUUAAUGUGUGGGUUGGGAUUAAAUUAAUUAAGUAAUUUAAUAGAUAAAUGGCAAUGAUGGAAUCAUAUUAUCUUCUCUUUUCUAAUAUCACUUUUUAAUUAUCGAUUGGAAUUAAAUGUUGCAAAAUAAUUAAUCUUAAGGGAGUAAUUUUCGAAAUCUAGAGGGAGGUCGGUGAAAUAGUCAAAAACCUCAAGGGAGGUUUUGAAAUUAUCCCUAGAUUUAAAUGAUAUUUAAUGGUCAACAACUAACAUUUUUUUCAAUUUUGAUUUUGUAAUUUAAUUUUGAUAUUUGCUUCAAUGCAUUGAUUUUACAAUGAAUGUUAAGCAAAUUAUUUGAUGCUAACAGGGGUAAGGCCCACAAAAUAAGAAUGUUCAAUGUUCAUUCCUUGGCCUAAUUGGUGACUUGAUGUUAUAGGGGCAGAUCAUGAUACCAAAUUUGUAACUGGAAGGGAGGUAAAAGUAAUUUUUCUUUUGUAUUUGCAGAUUCUAAUUGAAAUUGUGAUGUGGAUACCUAGGGAUUAUUUUUUUUGUCAUGUGGAUACCUAGGGAAAUUGUCUGUGGUAAAAGUAAAUUUUUUUUUUUGUAUUUGCAGAUUCUAAUUGAAAUUGUCAUGUGGAUACCUAGGGAUUAUUUGUGAAAUUAUAACAACAUAUAAGAGGAAGAUAUUAUACUUUUGUUAAAUCUAGGGUAAAUGAGCCUAAUAACCUAGUUUUUUUUGAUUUUUUUUUUUUUUUUUUUUAGGUGUGUCCCGCAGGGAGUGUACCCGCAGACUAUUCACCACCCUCAGCAACUUGCUGGCAGCAAGGUUCGAACCAGAGCCUAAUAACCUAGUGUCUAAGCUUGUUUGAUUUAUUUAAUGAAUUUAAAAUUUUGUUCAAACUUGACUUAUUUAUUUUGCUCAAUUCAGCAUUUUUCAAGUUGUCAACAUUUUUCAAGUAUUAACAAAUAAUAAAGCCAAAUAAUAGAAAUAGAAAACAUCAUAGAAACUUCUAAUUUAUAAUCAAGAAAAAUAAAAAAGGAAUUGGUGAAUUAUAGAACAAAAUAAAAAAUGUCAAUAUUUUCAUACUAGUAACUUUUAAUAUGCAAGCAAGGAAAAUAAUAAAUUACAAUACAUGAUUGGCAAGAAACCAAAAAACUAUAAGUUGGUUGAUCAAAAUAUAUAAUAAGGCAUAAUAAAUAGAAAUGUAUAUAAGGUGGAAACCAUCAAAUUCAUUGAGUAUUGCUAUAAAUAAGGAAGUGAAAAGGAAGAGAUUAAUUGUUGCCAAAAUUUAGAAUAUUAAUAGAAAAAUAUCCAAAAAUACCAAUAAUUAUAGGUCCAUGUAGUGAGCAAAUAUAUAGUUCUUGGUUGAUCAAAAUAUGUAAUAAGGCAUAAUAAAUAGAAAUCCAAAAAUUCAUUAAGUAUUGUUAUAAAUAAGGAAGUGAAAAGGAAAGGGAUUAAUUAUUGUCAAAAAAAAUAGAAUAGUAAUAGAAAAGUGCCAAAAAAUACAAACAAUUUAUAGGUCUAUGUAGCGAACAAAUAUAUAGUUCAAUGGGAAGAGGUUUAGAGUAGCUAAUCAGCAAAACAAUAUAUACGCAUGUUUUGGCAAAAUAGGAAUUUUUAAACUUUCAAGUUUUUUUGUUGAUAGUUGCACCAAUACAUAUUAACUUGUUAAAAAUUUAUUCAUUAUUUUCUAACUUCAUUGGUGGAAGCAUGCACACUUUCUUAUUAACAGUUGUACUAGUACAUAUUAACUUGUUAAAAAUUCAUUCAUUAUUUCCUAAUUUCAUUGGUGGAAACAUACACUGCAUAAAACUUAGGGUAAAAUAUAACAAACCCCCUGUUGUUAAGAUAACAGGCACGAAACCCCCUUAUCGUUUGAAAAAUCUACUUAACCCUCUUGUGCUUUGGAUUUCUUUGGAUUUUACCUACCAAUGAGCUGGGAAGCUAGCAAGUGAUGUUGACGUGACCUAAAGGUCGCUUGUGACUGAAAGAGACUUAUUUAUGGAAUAAGAUACUACUUUUCAUUCCAAUUUUGCCCUCCAUAUCACUUAUAAAUGAAACCCACCAUAGCUGUGGUUUUGCAAAUCGAAAAAUUGGAAAAAGAGACACAAAACUAAGACAAAAAUCGUAAGAACGCAGCUUUGGAGGGCACAAAAUAGCUUUAUUCAAGGAAGAAGCUAAAAAUGUCAAACUGUCAAAACUUUGGCGGUGGAUCGAGGAACCAAAAGGUACCAAUACAGGCGAUGUUUUGCAAAAAUAAAGCAAAGAUUAAGUUGGUGGAAUCUAAAAAAUAAUCAGAAGAUAUGAUGUACUUUGUAUGUGAAAAUGGUGUUUGUUCAUUUUGGGCAUAGUGUAACCCAAUUAGUAGAGAGGGAUGCACUAAUAAAUAAUCCUACUAAAGUCCAUACAUGGAAGAGGUUUCACCAACUGGAUCUGCAACGCCGAAAAGAUUUUUCAACUCUAGGCAAGGGAUGGAAAGUAUUAAAUAUAACAUCAUUAUGGGACUGCAGUUGAAGAUUCACAGUGUGUAAAGUAAUUAUGGGGCUGAUGAAAAUGAUGAUGAUGGUGUCUUUAGUUGUGUCUUUUUUGUCACUAGUUGUUAUACGUAUGAGAUAAAUGUUUUGGACAAAUAGUAGUGUAGUAAAUUUAUAGUAGAUGAAGAAGUUGGGCACAAUAAUAGAUUUUGUUAUGUCCAACUUGUUUUACAUGUAAUGAAGUACACAUUCUAGUUUCAAGUAAGAAGAAUGAAUGAAGCUGCGUUGUUUUAUUGCAGGCAAACCAAUGCUGUAAUUUCGAUAUUGAAUAAUUACAUGAAAAAAAAAAUUGAAAGACCUAAGAAUUCACUGUAAUAAACUAGUCAAAUUAAACCAUUUUCAGUAAAGAUAUCACCAGCAAUACUACCACAAAUGCCACAAAAAAGCAGCAUAUUGCCACAUCCAUACCAUAAUGGUAUCAAUUUGCCAAAAUAUGGCCAAAAUUUGAGUUUAUUAGUUUCAAUAAAUAUUACAAUCCAAUCACAAAAAGGAUCAAUUUAGUUGGCAUAACCAGUACAUUCAACAAAUAAAAAAGAGAUAAGUGUAGUUCAUUUUCUUGGUCUCUUGGAGCUAGAAUAUCACAGCCUUGACAUACCUGCAGCUGGUUGCUUCCUCUUUAAGGAUAUGUUUUGUUGGCUUCCUUGGUUUCUACCACUUCUAGGCUGCCUUGGUUCCUGCAUAUAAGUGGCAUUGGCUAGUAAGUAAAUAGAUCGCAGCACCCAAAAAUAGGUAAUUGAAAACUCGUACCUGUGAAAGUGUAAUGGCAGUAGCACUUGAGACACUAGCCUAAGCUACAAAAGUUUCGGAUAUUGCAUUUGAAGCUGUUGGACUAGAUUUAGGUGCUUAUAGUUCGCAUCCAAAUGACUGAAUGUAUAAGUAACAACAAAACAAACUAGAAAAUUGGUCUUUUCUGAAAUGUUACAUUACCUUUUAAAGCUUGGACUUAGGGUGAAUUGUUGAUUUGCAAGUUCUUAUGUCCAUAUUUCAAACACCUCCGGCAGUAGACUGCUAGGCCCUUACUGCUUGCUUUCUGCUGAUUUAUAGGCUCUUCUAAACUUUUCUUCCUCUGCUUCUUUGGCCUACCAGGCUAUUUUUUCACAAUUGCUGGGGUCAAAUAUUGCAUUUUACUAUCCACCCAGAACUGCUUUGAAGUAAUAAGACCAAUUGUGAAGUUGUAGGCCCUUAAAUAUGCUUCCCUAUGGUAACAAACAUCAACAUAUUGCUUAAAUUCCAACAUUGUGCUCUAAAAGCAGGCAAUCGUAUGCAUGCUCGAAAUGCCACUGAGUUGAAAAUGACCACAUAUACAUGUCUUCAUCUCCAAAUUGAGAACGUUGGUCCUUCGAUAGCCAUCAACUUCCAAAAUUCCCAUUUCCUCUAUAAACCACGACACAAUUUCUUGCUUUUAUCUUCAAUUUCUCUAACUUCUCAUAAAUGUUUAGACAUAAAGUGCCACCAUAUUUCAGCAUGCCCUCUCGUUUGGUUACCAUCCUUUGCAUUAAUCUCUUCCGAAUCCACUUCAACAAUGUUGUUAUUGGCUCAUCUCUAGCAUUUAGAAUGUAAUUAUUCCAUGACUCACUUAUGUUAUUGAUGUAUGUGUCACUUUUACAAGCUGUACUAAAGUGAGCUCUGGACCAAAGCUUUGGACGCAACCAUUUGAACCAUCCUGCAACUGUUAGCUUGUCACCUUUCUCUGGUUUAGCCUUUUCAAGAUUUGCUAGGGCAAUUUUAUACUCCGGCAUGCUUGUUACUAUAGCAACUACCCAAAACAUGUCUCUAAGAUCUUGAUUUUUGAAUCUUCAUUUAAAGUCCUCGAACACAUGUUUCAGGCAGAAUCUGUGCUCUGAUUCAGGGAAUAGCUUUUCAAUUGCAUAGACAAGACCCUCUUGCCUAUCCGAAAUGAAAGUAUAAGCCAUUCUUUUGUUUCCUCUUCCAAUUUGGAUGAUUAAUUCCCUCAAAAACUAGCUCCACCUAUCAUAGUUCUCUAUCUCAACAACAGUAAAGGAAAUAGGGAACAUGUUUUCAUUGGCAUCCCUACCCAAGGCUAUAAGCAGUUGACUUCCAAAGGGACUCUUAGGAAACAACUAUCUAGUCCUCUUAUAAGUCUACAGCUUUCAAGGAAACCAUUCUUCGGAGCACCUAAUCCAUAGUAUAUCAUCUAAAAUAUAGCUCUUCCUCAAGACUCCUCUUGCCAAUUUGUAGUGAAAUAUGACUAUCAGGAUUGGACUUUUUUACAGUGGCUACAUAAUCUCAAAGCCUGUACUGCUCCAUGUCAUUUCCCCUAAAUGCCUCCAAUUGCUUUCUGCUUCAUUCUGGCUGCCUUAUUCUCACUAAUAUCAAGCAUAACCAGCCUUCUUAUCUUAUUCACUAUACUAGGAAUACUGCACCUAGGAUCAUGUCUCACCUUGGCCUGAAAUUUUUUACUAAGAUAUCUUGAAGUGGCAUGUCUAUUGCUAUAAUCCCUACCAUAGUAGUGCUCUUUCUUGAGAGUUUUGAUCAUAAAAAUGUUUGUUCUCUGGAUUUUGCUUACUUGAAUUCUCCAACUUCACCCCUUUGCACAUUUAGAUAUCAUUCAAAAGUCUUCAUUUCUCAUGUAUUUGUACUUAUGCCCCUCCCUAAUUUCCCACUUUGCAAAAGCCUCCCUAAAUUUAGAGAAGCAAGUAGAUUUCUAUCCAACCUUUAGUUCAAGGUGUUGUUUCCUAAACUCUUCAUAUGCAUUGAAGUAAGCUUAACCAAGGAUGUUUUCAUCAUCAGAUCCUAUCCCUUUAUCAAAUAGGUUUUCAUCAUCCUCUGCUGACUCAUUCCAAUCCUCUUCCUGCUUAUUAGCACAACAUCUAUCAUCCACACCUGAUGUUGAUUGACUCCCCUCUUCAUGACUUUGGUUGUUUGCUUGUUUUCUAGAUUUCACUUGCUAAUUUUGUUGUUCCUGCUCUAAACCAAAUUGUUUUUUGGAUUUGACCUGUUGAUUUUCUUAUUGCUGAUUUGAACUAGCUUGUUUUUAGAUUUGGCUUACUAAUUUUCUUGUCACUGCUCUGAACCAACUCCAACUAAAUUUGCAAAUCUUUGAUUUAUAGAUGCCUAUGUUGAUUCUUGACCAUUUAAGCCUGCAAAUAUGUCAUUAUCUUCAGGCCCUUCUAGUCCUUCCCUUUGCCAAUGAAGAAGAUCUAAAUAGUUUGGUAUGAUAUCAUUUUCUUCUCCAACUUUAUGAGCUCUUUGCUCCCCUAAAAUUGGUUGUUUCUUCUAAUGAAUUUCUUGUGGGAGACUUCUGGACCUCUGUGGUUGUAUCAACUUUUUCCUUCACUUUAAAUGACCUUGUAGCUAACUUUUUUGCAGUUAAUUUUACUCUUUGCGACAAUAAUCUUGAUUGCUUCAAAAAGACCCAUUCCUUUCUACUUUUUGCUUACUUAGGAAUUUUUUAAAAAAUUUUCCCAAUAAAAAUUAUUGACAAAACUUCUGACUAAGCCCAACUUGCCACUUCUUUUACCAAGUUUCAAAAUAUCCCCAACAAUUUACUACCAAAAUGCUUGCUAGUCAAACAAAUCAAGACAAGUAAAUUUAGGGUUCAAAUCCAAGAUUACCUCAUUAAUUGUUAUACUCAAUGCUUCACAACCUCGAUCAAUCUACACAAAAGCACCUUGUUUGUUUGCAAGCUACACACAAAAAUCCUAUACUGUAUCGGUGCUGUGGAAGACAACGGCAAUUGCAGCGGAUCUUGGCUACAUGUUUAGGGUUUCAUCAACUUUCUCUCUCUAGACAUGAAAAUCUGCUAAUUGCAUCUGUACCUUUUGGUGAUAUUAUAAAUGAAGGUAUUUUUUAUAUUUUAUAUUGUUACCGGCUUCCCAAUCAGUUAGCAGAUAAAAUUCAAAGAAGUCCAAAGCAUAAGAGAGUUAAGUGGGUAUUUUUAAACGAUGAGGGAGUUUUGUAUCCAUUACCCUAACCACAGAGGGGUUUACUUUAUUUUACCUAAAACUUAUCAAUCAUUUUUGGAAAAUACCCUUAAACUUAUCAAUCAUUUCAGUUUAGCUUUCAUUUUUGGAAAAUCAAAAUUGAAGUGUGAAAUACUUGGUUUUUUUUUUUUUUAGUAACAAGAAAUACUUGGUUGUAAAUGAUCAAUUGUCUAUAAAGAAAAGUUGACGCAAUAAAGUUUUUCAUGUGCUCAAAUGUUUGUCUAAAAAAAUUUCAAAUGAGCAUUCACAUAUGUUAAAAUAACAUAUCUAUGCUUUCGUUUUGCACUUGCAAUAAUGAUUUCUCUUCAAAGUUUAAUACAACUAUUGUGGACCAUGAAAUUUAAGUGCAUUUACGUUUUAUUAUUUUUUGUGACCUCUAAAUAUUAUAUAUCAAUUGGUAUCUUUUUUAGUUAUAUAAUCUAUCUACGAUUGUAAUUCUUUAAUUUACAAGGAACUAUAUAUAAUUUUCCAAUUUAAAAAAUUCUAAUCAUUUUCAUCCAUUCUCCAACAUACGAAAAAUGAUGGAAAGAUAUAUUCUACUUUCUUUUAAUUAGAAAAUUCAAAAUCAGUCACCCUUUUUUUACAAUUAUUAUCACAUGUUCCUUAUGAGGGCAUCUUUUUAUUCUUUUUCAUUUAUAGGGUUAUUUGUAAUUAAUUCCUUUUCCUACAUGAUACUUGAUCACCAUCGAGGUAAUAUUUGUUCAUAACUUAUCAGAGUAUUAUGGUGGAGUAACAAUUUUUAUAUCAUUUAGUUUCAAUAUUUGUCUUAUAUUGGUUUUUAAAAUUUAAAAAAAAAAUGCUAUUUUAAUUGUUUUAUAUCCAUAUUUAAUUCAUUUAAUUGUUUUUUAUAUGAAUAGUGUCUUAUAUGGUAAAAGUUGUAGUUUUCAAAUUCAUAAUCUACGUUUUGUGUAGAUCACUGAGGGUAUAGAUUCAAACCAAAUUUGGUUGAAUAACUAUUUACCAAUUGGUUCAAAUGAAAAUUUGAGAGAUAGUUUUUUUUUUUUUUUUUGUUUGAAUAACUAUUCACCAAUGGGUUCAAGAGUUGUUUUCACCAACCAAUCAUAGUUUUCUAGGCAUUCACGGAGUCAGCUCGCACAAAUGCGUGCCUGCUUUCAUAUUUUUUGAUACAAAUACUUCACUAUUUUGUGGAACACUCCUCUCAUUUAUUUUAGUUUACAAAUUUAUCUCUUCAUCCUUGAUCCCGCUUUCCUGCCCCCUCCACUAUACAGUAGGAUCCACUCAUUCGUGAACUGAUCGCAUUCCAUUUUGUGAGGUGGAUUUUCAUUUACACCACACGAUCAUUGUUUUCCGUGCAGUUACCAUGUGGAUGUUUCUUAGCCAUUUGCUUUUCCUUUUCCUUUUCGCAUCUCUUUUCUCAAUAUAUAAACAUACUUCAAAAAUUUUCAUAUGUUAAUCUUUUAUGUUCGUUAGUGUAAAAUUAUAUUACUUAAGCUUGAUUGAGUUAGAUUGAAUCAAGUUUGAGUAAGUUAAAACUAGAUUGAGAUUAAGCCCAAAUGCAAGUUCUAAAAGCUCUAGAAAUGCAUUAAUGUAGUUUAAUUUAUCUCGUUCAUAAAAGUUUAAGUAUUGCAUUAUUCAAUUUUGAUUGGCUCGUUUAUACCCCUAUUGAGUAAUAUACAAUACUUUUGUUUUGUUUAGACUUACUUUGCUUUAAUUUUUUAAAUUUUAUCUUGUUUGAAUUUAUCUGUCCUGCUUCUGUUAUAUUUGCAAAUUGAAAUAUGUUCACUCUCUAUUUUUCUUCCCCCUCCCCAAAAACUCACCCCAUUUUCAAGCCAUUAAUUCAUAAUCUCGAUAUUUUUUAAUAUACAACAAUUUUGCAUCCUAUUAAAUAUUAAUAGGAGCAGUGCAAAAUAUAACACUUUUUAGGAGCCAUUUAAUUCAAAUUCCACAAUUACUAUCGCUGUCGAUAUCAUAGGGAGGCAGUGUGUUUGUUAAUAUGGAAUGGAUUUUACGAUUUAUUACUUUUCUUUUUCAUUAUUUCUUUUUUUUUUUCCAUUUUUUGAAACCAACCCAAAUGGUAUCAUUUUGUUUUCUUAUUUUUACAUUUAAGGAGAUUAAGAUGAGUAUUUUUAUCUUUAAGGAGAAUAAAAUUGAUAAUUAAGAUGAUUGUCCAGUGAGAGAUGGUUAAUCAAAAAACCCAUAGAAGAGGCCUAUCAUUCACAUUGAUUUAUUCUCAUCGGCCAGAAGCAAACAUCGUGUAAGGGUAUAAUUGAAUUUGAAACCCAACUAGGGGUUGAAGCCCAUCGUAAUUUUCUCCCCCUGUAUUUUCCAGACUUCAAAAGUAAACUGACGAAGAUAUGCCUGUUCACAUUUCAUAAACGGGUCUAACCCUUUCUUUGUGAUCAUAUUACUACAUGCCGAGAUCGUGUUAAUAUCACUGUGUCUUCCAUCAAGAAAUAAUACAAUUACUAUGUCAUUUAGCAACAUUUUGUUUUGUAUUUUCAAGAAACAUAAAAUUGCAGUAUAUUAGACCUGAACAGCGUUUUGGACAGUUCUGAAGUCGCAAUAUAACAAGAUUGACCUAAUACAACAGGCAGACAAAUCAAAGCAAACCACAUACGAACUAGUGACAGUCUGAAAUGAAAUGAAAAAAUUGGGAUGUCCGAAGCUCAGAAAUUCUAAUCUUCAGAUACCAUCUGCAGUCAGUAUGAAAGAGAAGUCCUAAUGCCCCUCAACAAGGGGGUGUCAAGAUCAAGAUACACGGGCAGAAGUUCAAAAGAAAGAAAGACGGGUAAAAAAAAGGAAAGGACAAGAAAGUUGCGGAAAACAAAUAGAAGUCCUAAUGCCUCCCAGCAAAAGGGUGUCAGCAGAAAACUUGACAGAGAUAAGAUAGAAAUGCACGCAGGCAAAGUACAAGAACAAACACAAAUUAUAACAUCCUGUCAUGAUGACUACAUCUAUCAGCGACCAGGCAAUGUUUACUGCUGUUUUUCAUGCUUAUCCAUUUUAACUCCACAAUGGUUGCAAAUCACAAACAAAGAUCCCAACCUAUCCUGUACUCCCCAUAUACAUGAUCCCCAAUCUAAAAAUUGCAAGUAUAAUGUAUUGACAGCAUGAACCACCAACAAAGGCAGUCAUUUCACGCAUCAACAGCAGAAUUCCAUC
rnacentral:lncRNA from 1 species